UCUGAAAUUGGAGAGAACGCCAUAUAUCCUGUAUCAUGGUCAUUUUUCAAUCGGUUAUCUUCCUCUUUUCCUUUGUUUUUUCUCCUCCAUGUGGGUCUAGUCUGGAAAUGCAAUUGCCUGAUGACCAGAAUUGAAGAGAAACGGAUGCCAUUGCCUGACCAGCAGAAUUGAAAAGAAAUCUCAGUGGGAUGUUUAGAUUUAUUUUCGUUAAAAGGUAAACAUCAACCUUUUCAAUAAAGUUUGAAUCUGUAAGUAAGCGUAAAUAUUCGGAUAAUCUUCAACAAACCAAAAAAAUCUUUUUACAUUUUGUUUUUUCUUUGUUACCUUUGUGAUUUGACUUCGUUUGAUGAUCUCGGUUGGGGUUAAUUUGAAAAGAUUGGUUUAUUAUUGCCAUUGACAACUUGGUUUCUCUCUUUAAACAAUUAUUUGGAACUAACAAUAAGUUUACAUACGUCUUUGGUAAAGGCAUAAAGCACAUAAGCAUUAAAGAAAUUCAUCAUACAUACAUAAAAAGGAUAUGAAAAAUAUCUUUCAUUUUUUAUGUUAUUCAGAUUCGAAUGUUAGAUAUGUUAUAUGUACAAUACAAUAAUGUAUUUUUUUCAAUUAAUUCUUUUUUAUAUUUGGAUUGUCUAACCUCCAUAUCUACAUUCAUUGUAUAUAUAUCAAACACAAUUACUUUAAAAGAAACGAAGAAUCCAACAAUUAACAUAGUUCAUUGACGCCUAGACCUUAACCUUCAUAUUGAGCCCCUAGUGCUUUUUAGUUUAUCCUCUUCUAUUCUUCUAUGGUGCUUUUUAACUCCUCUUUUGAUUGUCUCUGCCUUGGGCCCCAAAGGCUUUCAAAAUUUUUGGCGGGGUCUUGGCCCCCACACGCUUCCACAACGGUCCGCCAUGUAGUUUCAAUGAGGGACUUAUCCAGAAGCAAGGAAAGAAAGAAACAGAACUAAUGGCAGACGUCAUAUUUUACAUUUUUUAUUAUAAUUUUUUAUUUAAAUUUAAGUUUAUAUAUAUUGAGAAGCUGGCCAUUGACGCUUGUGGGGUUAUAAAAGAACAAAAUGUUCAAGAUUUUUAAUUUUCCUCUUGCCUUAAAUUCUGAACUUUUGUAUUUUAUUUUAUUUUUUACUUAAAGAAAAUAUAAAAUAUUUUUACUAUGUUUACUCUGCGUGCAGUGGCUGAUUUUUUUUUUCUUUUGUUUUCUCUCUUUUCAUGGUUUUGUUAUGUAUAAAAAGUAAAACUAGUAUGGUACAAAAGGCUAUGAACAAAAAUUAAUGAUAAUAAUUUGUAGCAACAUCGUUUUGGCUGGUUGUUGUGCAAACAAGUCAUCCAUCCAAGUCUUAAUUUCUGUGCAACGCGCUCUUUACUUUGAUGUGAAUGAUCAUCGCUGGAACAGUUACCCUCCAACACUUAUUGUCAUAUUGUACUAAUUGAAAGCAACUUUUCUUGCUGAUAAGGGCUGAAGUCAUUGUUUUACCCAAUCGACACUCUGAUGUCUGAAGGUUUGAGUUUUGGAUUUUUCUACUACACCCAAACGAAUCCCACAACUUUUAAGUGGAGCCCACGUUCGCCGCCCUUAGCAUGGAUUUUUUUGAGUGGAUAAGUUUAAAAGUUGAGGCUUUAUCUUGCUUCACCGUACUGGUCUUGACUUUGAACGAACUUUGGUUUAAAACUCACUGGUUAGCACAUUUUCUGGACAUUCAUUUAUUGAAAGCGACUUUACUUACCUCCCAUGGUUCGUCCCUUCAAGCCGUAAGGCAAAGAAGGAUUGUAAGGGCAUCUAUGUAUUGCUUUUUAAUUUGUGGACUUGACAGAAAACUUUAGGCAAAAUCAAGUCUUCUUGGGCUAAGCUACGUACCAAAACCAGCCCCACAACGUGUACGCGAAGGGACAUUGAGUUUGAUCCUUUGAACUUUAAAUCCUUUGAACUUUAAAGUUCGCCGAUGGAAAGGCAGGUGGAGCACAUCACAGCUAUUUCUAAGAAAAAUCUGGUCAUUGGUCUUUGGACUUAUUGGUUAUUAGUUGUACGUAUGCUUCGGUUUUGAUAGUUGCGUUUAGCUUUGCGUAAACGUAGUCCUUCGUAAACGACGGAGAAGGGACAAGGUAGUCAUAAGGAUUUUUCUUUAAUGAAAUACCUUCAAUUUGAUGGUACUCUCUUACAUUAAUGGAAAGACUAGCCGGAUGGGUUUUGGCCUUGUGCAUGCAAUUAAAUUAACAUACAAAGACUUUGUCUUUGAAGCAACUUAAGUAAUACUAGAUUUAAUUUGUAGGUUUCAAUGUGAGAUAUUUUAUAAAUCGGUUGUGGUUUUGUAAAGUAUUUUUUUUGUGAAAUAAAAUUAUAAAAUUUUUGAGUCAAUCAUAUCUAUUAAUUUAAGUGCGAUGAAUUUGUACAAUUGAUAUUAAUUGACGGAAAAAAUAUAAUAUUUUAAAAAAAAUGAUACUUUGGUUUUCUUCUAAUAACUUUUAAAAAUUUUAUUUUUUACCAAUUAAUAUAUUUAAAUUAUUCUAGUAUUUUUUUUCAUUUUGUUAAAAAUAAUUUUUAGCUUUUAUUUUUGAUAGGAUUUAAUUUUAUAUUUAGUAAAAUUUAUAAAUAUUGGAAAAAUAAAUUUUAAUAAAAUAGAAAAAAAAAUAAAAUCAGAUAAUUGACUCAAAAUUAUUCUUUUUAUUAUCAUCCUUAAAUAUAUUUACUAAAAAAAAUUUUUUUUAUAAUAUGACGAAGGAAACUAAAGUACCAUUUUACCUUUAAUUCUAAAUUGAAUUUUUAAAAUUAAGGAAAAAAAAUUAUGUUUUCGUCUCCUUUUAAAAAAUUUUAUAAAUUUUAUUUUCUUUUUAAUAAGUAUGUUUUGGUAUGAUUGUGAAGCUUAAUAAUUUUGAAUUCAUUAUCUUGAUUUGUAAUUUUCUCAUAUUUUUAUGCAAAGGGACCAUGUCGGACAUCUUUUUAAAAAAAUUUAGGACUAUCGUGAAACAAUUUGAAAAUUAAAAAUAAAAAAGAAACCCAAAUGAAAAGUUUGAGUGCUUUUAUCCUUAGUUUGAGUGUGGGACAUUUUCUCUUCUGAAUGUUCUCUAAGAAAAUCCUAUAAAUCAUUUAACUGAAGUAGGGUCCUUGAUCGAAAAUGAGCCAUGAAUUUCAUCUCCAGAGCCACUAUCAGUCAUUUUAAUAUUAUCUGAAAUUGGAGAGAACGCCAUAUAUCCUGUAUCAUGGUCAUUUUUCAAUCGGUUAUCUUAAUUGGCACGGAUUGAUUUUGCUGCAAAUGGCUAGAUCUUUUUAUUUUACCUCUGAAAUAAAUUUGCUGCCUAAAAUUUUCUGAAUUAUUUGGAUAAACUGAAUUGACUUUGUUUUGCAUGCCAUUUAGAAUCCGGUCUGAUGAUAGUAGUGGACAUCUGUCUGAUCCGAAUGAGGCAGGAUUGUUUAUGAAUCGAAAAUCCCAAGAUGCUGCAGUUGGUGCUCUUUUACGUAUGCUGAAGAAAGCCCCUCCUCUUCGCCAAGAUAUCUGCAGUUUAAUUAAUUUUUCGGAAGCCUCCAGUCCAGAAAUGUCGAACAGCAGCAUUUAUGAGCAAAACCAAAUUUCUGGGGUUGUGAAUGUUGAGCAUGCUGCUUCUUCAAGUAUUGCAUCUUCCAGGUUUGUUGCAUCAAAGACAACUGCUGAUGCAUUAGAGGAGCUUCGGGGUUAUAAAGAGAUGAAAAGCUUAUUGCUUAGUGAAGGUGGUAAGUCUUACACAUCUGCCAAUAAUGCCUCAGGAGCUGAACAUUCCAGUAAAGGUGCGUGAGAAUUUUUAACUUCUGCAAUAUUGGUAUAUCGCACAUAUAUGUACAGCGCUAUGGUUUGAGAGAUUACUACAUGCUAUACAACUGAAGCCAUUUUUGCUCUUAGGUAUUCACGUACGUUUAAUAAAAGAAUGUACAAAUGUUGUUUAAAAUUAUUUAUUAAAUUUAAUAAAUAAAUAUAAAUGAACAGAAAUUAAACAUGUUUAUUAACGGUUUGAAAUUAUUUAUUAUACUUAAUAAAUGAACAUAAAUGAACAAAAACUAAACAUGUUUACCGAAAGCUCUGAUCACACGCUUUCACAACGGUCCGCCAUUGAAUGCAUUUGUUAUAUUGUGCAACCAUGUUGUUUCAACAAGAGACUUAUCCAGAAAGAAAGAAAAAAAGAAAAAGAAACAGAACUGAUGACAGACGUCAAAAUUUACAUUUUCUUUUUAUUUCAAUUUUUUAUUUAAAUUUAAGUUUAUAUGCAUUUAGAACUAGCCAUUGACGCUUGUGGUGUUAUAGAAGAACAAAUAGUUCAAGAUUUUUAAUUUUCCUCUUGCCUUAAAUUGUGUACUGUUGUAUUUCAAUUUUUUGUUCUACUUAAAGAAAAUAUAAAAUAUUUUUUCUAUGUUUGCUCUGCGUGCAGUAGCUGAUUUUUUUUUUCUUUUGUUUUCUCUCUUUUCAUGGUUUUGUUAUGUAUAAAAUGUAAAAAUUAGUAUCGUACAUGAGGCUGUAAACAAAAAUUAAUGAUAAUAAUUUGUAACUAACAUCGUUUUGGUUGGUUCUUGUGCAAACAAGUCAUCCUUCCGAGUCUUAAUUUCUAUUCAGCGUGCUCUUUACUUUGAUUUGAAUGAUCAUCGCUGGAACAGUUGCUCUCCAACACUUAUUGUCAUAUUGUACUAAUUGAAAGCAACUUUUCUGGCUGAUAAGGGCUGAAGUCAUUGUUUUACCCAAUCGACACUCUGAUGUCAUGUCUGAAGAUUUGAGUUUUGGAUUUUUCUAGUACACCCAAACCAAUCCCACAACGUUGAAGUGGAGCGCACGCUGUCAGCCCUUAGCAUGUGUUUUUUUUUUUUUGAGUGGAUACGUUUAAACGUUGAAGCUUUUUCUUGCUUCACUGUACUGGUAUUGACUUUAAGCAAAACUCACUGGUUAGCACAUUUUCUGCACAUUCAUUUAUUGAACGCGACUUUACUUACCUCCCAUGGUUCGUCCCUUCAAGCUGUAAGGCAAAGAAGGAUUGUAGGGCAUCUAGAUAUUGCUUUUUAAUUUGUGGACUCGACAGAAAACUUUAGGCAAAAUCUAAGUCUUCUUGAGCUAAGUUACGUACCAAAACCAGCCCCACAACGUGUACGCGAAGGGACAUUAAAUUUGAUGCUUUGAAUUUUAAAGUUCGCCGAUGGGAAGGCAGGUGGAGCACGUCACAGCUAUUUCUAAGAAAUUUUACCUCUGAAAUAAAUUUGCUGCUUAAAAUUUUCUGAAUUAUUUGGAUAAACUGAAUUGACUUUGUUUUGCAUGCCAUUUAGAAUCCGGUCUGAUGAUAGUAGUGGACAUCUGUCUGAUCCGAAUGAGGCAGGAUUGUUUAUGAAUCGAAAAUCCCAAUAUGCUGCAGUUUGUGCUCUUUUACGUAUGCUGAAGAAAGCCCCUCCUCGUCGCCAAGAUAUCUGCAGUUUAAUUAAUUUUUCGGAAGCCUCCAGUCCAGAAAUGUCGAACAGCAGCAUUUAUGAGCAAAACCAAAUUUCUGGGGUUGUGAAUGUUGAGCAUGCUGCUUCUUCAAGUAUUGCAUCUUCCAGGUUUGUUGCAUCAAAGACAACUGCUGAUGCAUUAGAGGAGCUUCCGGGUUAUAAAGAGAUGAAAAGCUUAUUGCUUAGUGAAGGUGGUAAGUCUUACACAUCUGCCAAUAAUGCCUCAGGAGCUGAACAUUCCAGUAAAGGUACAUGAGAAUUUUUAACUUCUGCAGUAUUGUUAUAUGGCACAUUAUGUACAGCGCUAUGGUUUGAGAGAUUACUACAUGCUAUACUAUACAAGUGAAGCCAUUUUUGCUCGUACGUAUUCACAUACGAUUAAUAAACGAAUGUACAAAUGUUGUUUAAAAUUAUUUAUUAAACUUAAUAAAUAAACAUAAAUGAAUAGAAAUUAAACAUGUUUACUAACGGUUUAAAAUUAUUUAUUAAACUUAAUAAAUGAACAUAAAUGAGCAAAAAUUAAACAUGUUUAUCGAAAGCUCUGUUCACUUACAACACUAAUGGAGGCUCAUGCGAAUUUACAGGCUACAUAUGUCCAUGGUAGUGCAACAUAUCUCUAUCUUUCGCUCACCAUCUCUCUGUUGCUGUCGUCUCUAUUAUUUUCCUCUUUUCCCUUGUUUUUCCUCCUCCAUGUGGGUCUAGUCUGGAAAUGCAAUUGCCUUAUGAUUAGAAUUGAAGAGAAACAGAUGCGAUUGCCUGACUAGCAGAAUUGAAAAGAAAUCUCAGUGGGAUGUUUUAUUUGUUUUCGUUAAAAGGUAAACAUCAACCUUUUCAAUAAAGUUUGAAUCUGUAAGUAAGCGUAAAUAUUCGGAUAAUCUUCAACAAACCAAAAAAAUCUUUUUACAUUUUGUUUUUUCUUUGUUACCUUUGUGAUUUAACUUCGUUUGAUGAUCUCGGCUGGGGUUAAUUUGGAAAGAUUGGUUUAUUAUUGCCAUUGACAACUUGGUUUCUUUCUUUAAACAAUUAUUUGGAACUAACAAUAAGUUUACAUACGUCUUUGGUAAAGGCAUAAAGCACAUAAGCAUUAAAAAAAUUCAUCAUAUAUACAUAAAAAAGAUACGAAAAAUAUCUUUCAUUUGUUAUGUUAUUCAGAUUCGAAUGUUAGAUAUGUUAUAUGUACAAUACAAUAAUAUAUUUUUUUCGAUUAAUUCUUUUUUAUAUUUGGAUUGUCUAAUCUCCAUAUCUACAUUCAUUGUAUAUAUAUCAAACACAAGUACUUUAAAAGAAACGAAGAAUCCAACAGUUAACAUAGUUCAUUGACGCCUAGACCUUAACCUUCAUAUUGAGCCCCUAGUGCUUUUUAGUUUAUCCUCUUCUAUUCUUCUAUGGUGCUUUUUAACUCCUCUUUUGAUUGUCUCUGCCUUGGGCCCCAAAGGCUUUCAAAAUUUUUGGCGGGGCCUUGGCCCCCACACGCUUCCACAACGGUCCGCCAUGUAGUUUCAAUAAGGGACUUUUCCAGAGGCAAGGAAAGAAAGAAACAGAACUAAUGGCAGACGUCAUAUUUUACAUUUUUUUAUUAUAAUUUUUUAUUUAAAUUUAAGUUUAUAUAUAUGGAGAAGCUAGCCAUUGACGCUUGUGGGGUUAUAAAAGAACAAAAUGUUCAAGAUUUUUAAUUUUCCUCUUGCCUUAAAUUCUGAACUUUUGUAUUUUAUUUUUUUUUCUACUUAAAGAAAAUAUAAAAUAUUUUUACUAUGUUUACUCUGCGUGCAGUGGCUGAUUUUUUUUUUUCUUUUGUUUUCUCUCUUUUCAUGGUUUUGUUAUGUAUAAAAAGUAAAACUAGUAUGGUACAAAAGGCUAUAAACAAAAAUUAAUGAUAAUAAUUUGUAGCAACAUCGUUUUGGCUGGUUGUUGUGCAAACAAGUCAUCCAUCCAAGUCUUAAUUUCUGUGCAACGCGCUCUUUACUUUGAUGUGAAUGAUCAUCGCUGGAACAGUUACUCUCCAACACUUAUUGUCAUAUUGUACUAAUUGAAAGCAACUUUUCUUGCUGAUAAGGGCUGCAGUCAUUGUUUUACCCAAUCGACACUCUGAUGUCUGAAGGUUUGAGUUUUGGAUUUUUCUACUGCACCCAAACGAAUCCCACAACUUUUAAGUGGAGCCCACGUUCGCAGCCCUUAGCAUGGAUUUUUUUGAGUGGAUAAGUUUAAACGUUGAAGCUUUAUCUUGCUUCACCGUACUGGUCUUGACUGUGAACGAACUUUGGUUUAAAACUCACUGGUUAGCACAUUUUCUGAACAUUCGUUAAUUGAAAGCGACUUUGCUUACCUCCCAUGGUUCGUCCCUUAAGCUGUAAGGCAAAGAAGGAUCGACGGGCAUCUAUAUAUUGCUUUUUAAUUUGUGGACUUGAUAGAAACUUUAGGCAAAAUCAAGUGUUCUUGAGCUAAGCUACGUGCCAAAACCAGCCCCACAACGUGUACGUCAACAGACAUUAAAUUUGAUCCUUUGAACUUUAAAGUUCGCCGAUGGGAAGGCAGGUGGAGCACAUCACAGCUAUUUCUAAGAAAAAUCUGGUCAUUGGUCUUUGGACUUAUUGGUUAUUAGUUGAACGUAUGCUUCGGUUUUGAUAGUUGCGUUUAGCUUUGCAUAAACGUAGUCCUUCGUAAACGACGGGAAAGGGACUGGGUAGUCAUAAGGAUUUUUCUUUAAUGAAGCACCUUCAAUUUGAUGGUACUCUCUUAAUUGAAACAUUAGCCGGAUGGGUUUUGGCUUUGUGCAUGCAAUUAAAUUAACAUAUAAAGACUUUGUCUUUGAAGCAACUUAAGUAAUACUAAAUUUAAUUUGUAGGGUUUCAAUGUGAGACAUUUUAUAAAUUGGUUGUGGUAUAUAAGAAAAAAUUUAAAUUUAUAUUUAUAAAAUAUUUUUUGAAAUAAAAUUAUAAAAUUUUUGAGUCAAUAAUAUUUAUUAAUUUAAGUGCGAUGUACAAUUAAUAUCAAGCAAUUAUAAACCGAUAAAAAAAUGUUAUACAAUAAAAAUUACUUCUAAAUCGUUGUAAAUGAGACCCAAUAUUAUACUAUGUGAGUAUCACUUUUAAAAUUUUUAUUUUUAGUAUGACUUUAAUUUUAUGUUUAGUAUAAUCCUAAUUUUUUAUAUACUAUAUUAAACUUGAAAAAAACAUUAAACUUUAAUAAGCAAAUUUAUAACACUCAAUCUUAUUCUAAAAUAUUUUAAAAUUUUAUUAUGAUAUAUAUAUAAAUCUAAAUUUUAAAAUUUUUUAAUCAAAAUAAAUAAUAUUUCGCAUACAUGUAUAACGUAAUAACUGUAAGAAACGAGAUAUCAUUUUCCAAUUGAAGGCUCUAAGUAAUCUUGCUUUUUCCCGUUUGGACGUUAACUUUUUGAGGUUUAGGGUACUGAUUAAUAUUUUUUAGAGAGAGAAAAAAAAGAAAUAGUACUCCCUUUGUCUUAAUUUAUUUAUACCUCAAUUUGGUUCUUUUAACCGAAAUUGAUCGAACUUUUUACCUUCAAUUAUUAAAUUAUUAGAUUGAUUAAUUAAAAAUUUAAAAAGGUUUUAAAUUCUUUUCUCAAGUACAUAAGGAUUUUGAAUUGCAUUAAUAUGAGAAAGUUUUCUCCAAUAUCUAUAUUUUAUCUUAUUUAUCAUAAAAUUCAACAACAAGAGAUCAAUUAAACUUCAAGUUUCAACAGUUGCUUGAAUUUUAUACUCGUGAUUUUUUUAUAGUCAUUUUGCAAAAUAGAGAUAUACAAAAUUAUGUUUAUUUGACCAAACAAGUUAAACAAGGAGAACCAAAUGAGAGUAGGAGAAAAAUGUGGGUAGAAAAUACAGUUUUUAACCUUUAAUUUGCAUCAUUUUAUAAAACUUUGACGUGCAUUAUCACUCUCUUUUAGCAGUUGAAAGUGUAUUCAACCGGACUUUGCUGCUCAAUUACUUUUUAUUGGAUUCUUAUCUUAAAUUUUUAAAGGACUUGGAAGUUAAAAUAUUGAAAAUCGAGUGAAUGGUGCAAAUUCUAAGGGCAGAUUGGUUUUCUAGAAAAUUAGAUUUAGGGUCUAUUUGGAUAUUGAUAAGAUUAAUUUUGGUGAAAUUAAAAAUAAUAAUAAAUAAAAUAUUAAUUAAUGUAACAAUAAAAUUAAAAUCAAUGUUGAAACAUAACCUAACCUAUGCCAGGCUGUAGUGGACCAUCCCUAGAUGGGUCCAAUUGAACUCUGAUUGAAUUGGUCAAACUACAACUGAAUCAGUCCAAUAUGUAUCAGCGCCUAAAUAGUUUGAGGAACUGCGAAAUUGGACUGACCAUUAUUAAACUAUUGACUAGUUUUGACCAAUUUUUUGGGUAAUAUUUUUAUUUUUUUUUUACUUUGUUAAGUUAUUUAUUUGUUUAUCUAUACACUUUUAAGUUUUUAAAAGUAAAUAUAUAAUUUAAAAAAUGUUGAAAAAUCUUUGAAACAAAUCCUUCGACAAUGAAAUAUUAAGGAAAUGCAAGUAUUUCUUAAAAAUCUUUAAGUAAAGAUAUUUUUCUAAAAUGCUACUAAAGUAUUGAAAUAUUUAAAAAGCUAUUCAAUACAAAAAAAUUUUGUUUACUUAUUUUUUAUAUUGUUAAAAUUGAAAACAAAAAUAAUGAAUGAGUUUUUUAAGUAAUAAAAUUACAUAUAAUAAUGCAUGAAUAUUAUUGGCAUUAAUUAAUUAAAAAAUAUGAGCCUCCAAAGAUGGUUUUUUAAAAAAAUUUGAGUUGUGAUUCCUGAGAAAUUCAUAAGUGAAAAAAAUUUCUCUUAAUGUUAUUAGUAUAUUAGAAUGUUUCAAGAUAUUUUCAACAAGUUUCCAAUUUAUUUUUCAAAUAAAAAAUGAAAUAGCAUUUUUUAUUUAAAGAAAAAGAAUUAAAAAGAGAAAAUUUUUUGAACGAAAUUAAACAAAUCAAAAUUAUGAUAAAAAUUGGUUAAAAAGUUAUUUUUAAAUAUCAAAAUUAAAAUCUUUUUUUGUCAAUAUUAAAGGAUAAAACAUAAUUAUUCUGUAACAUUUUAAAAAAGUCAUUGUGGGAUGUUAAUUUUUUUCACAUAUAAUCGUAUUUUCGAAUCUAAAUUAUUUUGACAGACACAAAAAUUAUCUUUUUAAUAAAUUUUAAUUAAUUUUAAAUUUUACUAAAAAGAUAAGUUUUUUUAAAUGAUUAAUCACAUUUAACAAAAAAAAUUUAGUGAUAACACGUUGUUUUCAAUUCAUAUAACGGUUCUCAAAAAUAAAAUAACUAAUUAAAUAUGUAAAGAAAAAAUAGAAAUUAAAAUAAAAAUAAAUAAAAACCAAAGAAACUGACGCACGGUAGGUUUAUAUAUAGUAAGUCAAACUUACCCUGAUUAAUAUAUAGGAUAUAUAUAGAUAGAUAUAAUCGUAAUUAAAGACUUUGAAGCAUAUGAUAGUGAAGGGUUGCCUGGAGGCUUUUCAUUUCUGUGCCUACGAUCUGAACUUGAACUUUUAAAAUAUCUAACAAAAUUGGAUCAUGAAGAGACAUAUUAUAAUUUGGGAAGACUGUGAAGAAGAAAUGCUGCACUAAAUCUCUUGGGCCAUCUGCCUCAUUUGUUCAAUACAUAAUCUGUCUUCGUGGUGGAUUUGUAUUUGGUUAGAUUCCUUGGCAGAAUGGGCUCUUUGACAGUUGCAGAUUUUAAGAAGAAAAUCACGGCUCAUUGUUAUGUAAUAAGUUGAAUGAGCUACCAAACACCUUCGUCGCCAUUUUUUACUCGACCAAGUCUUUCAUUUUUACUCAAGUAAAUUCUCCAAAAUGCACGAUUGUAAGAAGCUUAGCUAACUUGCUACAUCGGCUCACCACAGACUUCUUUGAACUUGGUCGAUUGUUUUGAACAAUUCAUUAUUCUUGGAAUUCAAACUAAACGUCACUUAAUGUGAUUUUUUUAGCACUUAAUCAUGUUCUGAACGUACUUUAAAUUCAUUGGAUCUAAAUAUCGAACCAAAUACAAGUUGAUUAAUAGUCCUUUCUCGGAUAGGUAGUUGUUGGUCACGUCGAUGAUCUAUAUAUUGGUAUGUUGUGUCACGAAUUAUAUCUCAAGUGAUAACAAAAAAUUAACCCAACUUCUAUAGUUCCAAACUAAAGCUUUCUUCAUGGCUCUUCAAUCCUCCAAAAUUUUGGUUGCUACCGCCAAAGUUUUAGAUCAAAAAAUUGUUAGGCGAUCUGCUAAUUACCAUCCUACAAUUUGGAAGGACGAUUAUAUUCAGUCGCUCAAGAGUGAUUACAUGGUAUGUAGAAUGGUAAUUACCAACAUAUAUAUAUAUAUAUAUAUAUUUUGAGCAUGACAGGUAGCUAACAGAGUUGCUUAUCGUCGAUAGGGAGAAUCAUAUGGUGAACGAGCAGUGAAACUGGUGGGAGAAGUGAAAAUGAUGCUUGACAAAGUGAUGGAUCCUUUGGAGCAACUCGAGCUAGUCGAUGCGUUGCAGAGACUCGGAUUAUCUCAUCACUUUGAGAAUGAAACCAAGAGGAUUUUGGAGUAUGUAACGGCUGACCAUACCAAUUUAUAUGCUACAUCACUUGAAUUUAGGCUCCUAAGGCAGCAUGGGUAUAAAGGAACUCCAGGUAAAAGUCCAAGUAGUAAUUAAUUUUGUGUAAAUAUAAAAUAAAAAAAUUGGAGAAAUAUUGAUAAUUACAGUUGAAAAUUUUAUUACAUGCAGAGGUUUUCUCCCAUUUCAUGGACGAGAUAGGGAACUUGAAGGCAGGUUAUUGUGAGGAUUGGAAAGGGCUGCUGAGCUUGUAUGAAGCUUCAUACCUUUUGUUUGAGGGUGAAAGCAUAUUGGAGAAGGCAAGAGAUUGUGCAGCAAAACAACUCAAAGAAUUUCUGAAGCAGAACAAGGAUGUAUAUAGUGUGUCGAUGCUAGUGGAUCAUGCUUUGGAACUUCCAUUGCAUUGGAGAGUACCAAGGUUGGAAACCAGAUGGUUCAUAGAUGUGUACCAAAAAAGAGACAGAAAUCAGAGUCUUCUGGACCUUGCUAAAUUGGACUUCAAUAUGUUGCAAGCUGUUCACCAGGAUGAUCUAAGACAUGCUUCCAAGUAAGUUCGUUCAAAUUUAAAUUAUAUAUUUUUUUUAUAUUCGGCCAAUAGGAAAAAUCCUGAGCUACUCUAAAGAUAUUAUAAAUAUAUCAGCAGAUUUCAUGUCUUUUUUUAAGUACAUGUAAGGCUAAACCCCCCCCCCCCCCAAAAAAAAAAAAAAGAAAUAAUAAACUUAAAUAAAGUGAAUAUUUAAACAUUCUAUCAUGGCUAUGUCCUAAUUCCAAUAUAAUACUUACAAGUUUUACUUUUUAUAUGUUUAAAUAACUUUUUUACAGAAAAAACCAUGGAACAUCAAAAUUAUAACAUUUUUGAAAAUUUAAUAUAAAACUGCUAAAAUCAUAGCAUUUUUUAGUUUUGUUUCUUUUGUCUAGUAAAAAAAAAAAAAGAACAUUCAAUUUUAGACAUAAUUAAACAAUAAUGGAAUACUGUUAAAUGUCAUUUACAACAGGAAAAAAAAGACAUAAAUAGGAGUUGAUAUAUAUCAAAAGCUAUAUAAAAACUCCCUUAAUUAAUUAAUUAUUUGAUUGAUUGAUUAAUCUAUUCUAUUUAUAGUUUUGAAUUAAUUUUACAGAAAACGAUUUUCUUAAACUUCUGUGCAGGUGGUGGAAAGAUCUGUGUCUUGGGGAAAAGUUGACGUUUGCCAGAGACAGGUUAGUGGAGAGCUUUUUAUGGGCUAUGGGCGUGGCAACUGAUCUUCACUUUGGUAAUUGUAGAAGAAUUCUCGCUAAGGUUGGUGCACUAAUAACAAUUAUAGAUGAUAUUUAUGAUGUGUAUGGUACCAUGGAUGAAUUACUGCUCUUCACCGAGGCUGUUGAGAGGUUCGUAUGGUUCUUUAACUCUCUACUUUGUAUAAAAGAUGACCAGAGAGAAUCAGUGAUCUAUUUUUUAAUUUAAAAGCUAGGUUUCAUAAUAUUUUUUAGUUACUUUAUAACUCAAAUCAUUGAAAAUUUAAGCUUAAUUUAGUUCAUCCCUUAAAUUUAUAUUUAGCAUUAAAAUUUAAAACAAUUGUCUUAAUAUUUUCAAAAUAUUUUUAAUUAAAAUUAAAUUAAAAUUUUUUACCGAAUCUAAAAAAAUCCUAUUUAUAGGACCCAGAUUUGAUUAGAUCAAACCCAUAGCUCAACCAGUGAACACCUCUACCCUUAUUCCCAACAAAGCAAAGCCUUACGUAAUUUUUUUUUUUCUGUAUGAAAUUUUAAUCUUUAUGAUUCCAGAUGGGACACAAAUACAAUGGAGUUGUUUCCUGAAUAUAUGAAGCUAUGUUUCCUUGCUCUUUUCAACUUCGUAAACGAAACAGCCUUCGCCAUUCUCAAGGAGCAAGGAUUCGAUACCUUACCUCUCAUGAAGAAAAUGGUACUGAAACCCUUCUAUUAUAUAUAUAGUUUUGAAUUACUUUUAUUUCAUGAUCUUUUCCUUCUAGAUUUCGAUUUUGUUAUUGAUCAUGAUUUCUAUCAUAAAUGUACAGUGGGCAGACCAAUGCAAAGCUAACUUAUUGGAGGCGAAGUGGUAUUAUAAUGGAUAUACACCAACUUUAGAAGAGUAUCUUGAAAAUGGACUGAUUUCCAUUGCCUUUCCUGUAAUACUUUUUCAUGCUUAUUUGGCUACAAAUUCAAUAAGAAAGGAGUGCAUGGAAUGCUUCGAAGAGUGUUCCAACCUAAUCAAGUUUUCAUCUGUGAUAGCACGUCUUGCGGAUGAUCUUGGAACAUCAUCGGUAUGAAAUAUACAAGCAUCAUUGCUUGCUGUGAAUUGAAAUAUAUUUAUGUAAUGCUUUACCCUUUGGAUUUUUUUGAUUAGGAUGAGUUGAAAAGAGGCGAUGUUCCUAAAUCAAUCCAAUGUUACAUGCACGAAACUGGAGCUUCGGAUGAAGAAGCCCGUCAGCACAUACGGGCGUUGAUUGAUGCAUGGUGGAAAAGGCUAAACGAAGAGCGAUUUGCUCAUUCUCCUUUUUCUCAGACGUUUAUUCAAUUUGCAUUGAAUGUGCCAAGGACGACUCAAUGCAUGUACCAGCAUGGUGAUGGCUAUGGGAUUGGAGAUCGUGAGACUAAGGAUCGUGUAUUAGCAUUAAUCGCUUUUCCUAUUCCAUAGAACAAAAUAAUUGGAGGCUAGGUGAUAUAGCAAUCCUUUUGUAGUAACUGUCAUAACGUCUAGAUCCGGGGAUCUAUCGCUAGACAUUGACUUAAGGGAGUCGCUACCAAUCUUUUUUUAUCUAGUUGCGAUUAGCCACCUAAAGAAUCUGUCCCUUCAAGGAACACUUAAGUUUAAGGGUCCUUAAAAGAAUAGGUUCGGGUCUACAAACCAGAACAGGGUUCGGGAGUUCGGUUACGUGUGAGGAAGGUUAUAGCACCCUCACAACGCCCAUCAAAAGAUGGUACCAACUUAAAUUUGUAUUAUCUAAAAAAGCCUUAAAAUGUUACCAAGUAAUUAAUUAUUGAAAAUUAUUCUCAAUUGACUUUAAUUCUUUUAGCAAAAAAUUGAGAAAAUUCUCUCACCUCAGGAGUAUACAAGAAAAACUACUGUUUUACUUGCAGAGGUUCCGUCGUCGGAUUAAUUAAAAAAAAAUGAAAAUCAAAAUCAAAAUAGAAAGGAAGGAAAGGAUGAUUAUUCUUGUGUAGGAAAAAUUGAUACUUUCAACUUUUCUCCAAAAAUUAUUUUUUUAAAAUUUAUUUUUCAGGAAAAUUGAUACUUUCAACUUUUCCCUAAAAAUCCUUUUUUUGAAAUUUAUUUUUAAGGAAAAUUGAUACUUUCAACUUUUCCCCAAAAAUAUUUUUUUUUGAAAAUUUAUUUCUAAGGAAAAUUGAUACUUUCAAUUUUUUCCCAAAAAUAUUUUUUUUUGAAACUUUGAUUCCCAAGGAAAAUUGAUACUUUUAACUUUUCCUCAAAAAUCUUUUUUUUUUGAAAAUUUAUUUUUAAGGAAAAUUGAUACUUUCAACUUUUCCCUAUAAAUAUUUUUUUUGGAAAUUUCGAUUUUCAAGGAAAAUUGAUACUUUCAACUUUUCCCCAAAAAUCUUUUUUUUGAAAUUUUACUUUUAAGGAAAACUGAUACUUUCAACUUUUCCCCAAAAAUAUUUUUUGGAAAUUUAUUUUUCUUUUAAGGAAAAUUGAUACUUUCAACUUUUCCUCAAAUAUCCUUUUUGAAAUUUAUUUUUAAGGAAAAUUGAUACUUUAAACUUUUUCCUAAAAAUAUUUUUUUUGGAAUUUUUGAUUUUUAUUUAAAGAAAAUAGAAUAAUAAAAUAAAAUAAAAUAAAAUAAAAUAAAAAAGAAAGAAAAGUAAAAAAAUAAAAUAAAAUAAAGAUAAAAAAGAAUAUUAAAUAAACCUAAUCUAAUAAAUUAAUUAAUUAAUUAAAAAAAAAAAAAACCUGGAGCGGUUCGGUUCGGCUCCCCUCAAGGCAGGGAAACGGCUCGAGGGGAGCGGCUUGGCAGCUUGGCUCAGCUUGGCUCGGCUCGGAGGGGGACUGGCACGCGCGGGUCAGGAAGCGGGUCGACGCUCGGGUGGGGUCGGGUUUCGACAAAACGCGCGGAUCCUCUGAUUAACUUAAAGCCAAAACGACGUCGUUUUGGGAGGGUAUAAAAGACAGUUACCUUCGUUUUUCGGCAGAACCCUUCUCCUCUCUCUCUCUCUUCUUCCUUUUUCCUCUCCUUUCUCUCUAAAAACUGAAGAACACCGGUGGAAUUUUCGCCGGAUUCUGGAAAAAAUCACCGAAAUCUGGAAAUUUUAUCGAAAGUUGGUCGGAAUAUCACCGGUUUCUGGGAUUCUUCACCGGAAACUGGGUUGGUCGUCGGAAACUUCAAGGUUGGCCGGAAUUUUCGUCGGAAAAUUCAACCAUCGCCGGAAAAGUCACCGGAAUCUGGAAAUUUCCCAGAAAUUUCCAGAAAAUUUUUUUCGCCAAAAAUUUCUAAAAAUUUUUUCUCACUCCCAGAACCCUCCUAAACUUUUCUUAGCUUCCUAUAUGCUUCCUUUUCUCUCAAACCAGUAGCUUUGCUUAUUGUUUUCUCUCUGUUUUUCAUCUGUUCCAGGAGGUGCUUUUUAUAGGGGUUGAUCAAGAGUUCCUGAUCAAUCCUAAUUCCUCCUUGGACGAAGAUUCAAUCUUUGAAUCCAAUUGGACUCUUCUGAUUGAAUUCCCCUCCACAGUGGGAUUCUUUAACUUUUAAUCUUAGCCCUCCAAAAUAAAAUCAAAAUAAAAAAAUACUAGAUAAUUAGAAAAGAUAAAUCAAAAAAUAUUAUAUAUAAAAAAAAUAAAAAAUAAUAUCUGAUAAUUGGAAAAAAAUCAGAUAAAAUUGACAGAUAAUUUAAAAAAUACUAAUAACAAAUAAAAUAAGAUAAACCCAAAAAUAUAUUACAAAAAAAUAAUAAUAAUAUAAUAAUAAAUAUAUAACUAUAUAAAUAAAAUACAUAUAAAUCUAAUCUAAUAAAUAAAUAAAUAUAUACAUAAUAAUAAUAAUAAAUAAUAAAAUAUAUAAAAUACAAAAGAAAGAGAAAAAAAAAUAAUAAUACAGGAUAAAAUUGGAUUGAGCCUUACCCAUUUGGGCUAGGCCCAAUUGAUCUGGGCCUGGACCUAAUUGGGUGUCUACAGCUGCCCCUCUUUGCACAUUUUCUGUGAAACAGAAAUUGCGCAAAGACGUAGACACCCAAUUAAGACUCAACUCAACAUUGUCAUUUUUUGUUUUUUUUUGUUGUUUUUUUUUUUUGCCAAAGCUCCUCUAAACAGAGGCUCAAUGAUUUUGAGAAACAUAAAUUGCUCCUCUAAACAGAGGCACCACGACUUUGAAAAGUAAAUUGCUCCUUAACAAUCAUGUCCAAAGGAGUUUGAAGGUUGUGUUUGGAGGAAUUUCAGGAGAUUAUGCCCAAAGGUCUUAUAAAUCAACCCCGAUACCAAAAGACAUCCUAUUUUAAGGAUUAGGAACUUACCUGACAAGUUUCUUCUCAAACUUGCAAAAUAUCUUCAUAUCUGUCUUCUUCAUGUGAGAUGUUGGAACACCCCUGCUUCUUGAAUUUAUACACUAUACUUUCCUGAAAGUAGUGUAUGCUAUGCAAAUGCAUAUGAAUUUCAAUGCAUGCUAUGCAAAUGUUCGAUCAAUUAAUUCCUGUUCAAUGUAUGGUACUCAAGUUUCUCAAGCUUUUUUCUUAGGCAUCAAGCCCUUCUAUUCUUCAGAGAUCCAAUUACACUGUUCUUCUAAGAUUGAACCAGUGUAGCUCUCAAUUGUCUCUUCCACUCAAAAAAUCCCUUCCCAGAUUCAAUGUCCUAAUCAGGAGCUGAACAUCUCAAUUCUGCCUUUUUCACUUUUGACUUAUUCAAUGUAAUGUAAAGAUCUUUUUAUGUUGUUAUUCAUUCAUCAAUCAUUAUUUCAAACUCAAAAAGUAAGAAUGCAUUUGCAUAUUUCUCUCAUGGUGGGUUGCUAAGAAGAAAAGAAUAUGAAUGGUUGGGAAACAAGCAUCGAAAAAAGGCACAAAGAAUGAGAUAAAAUAUUUUUUAUUAGCAAAAUGUUGGCAAACUUUGGCCAAGAGAGAACUAUAAUGAUAGGUAUGGGAAUAAAGCCCAAAAUGAUCAAUCAGAUAAUCACGAUAACACCUCUCAAAGUCUUUUUUGAAAACCCAACCCUCUGAUGUAUUUAACAACUUGGAACUCUUCCGAAUUUGUUAGCUUCCAUAUCAGCGAACUUUUAAAUUUGAUGCUGUGUUCUCCUUAUCUAAGCCGCCUUUUCAGGUUUUCAACUUAGACAAAUCCCCUAUGACUCAAACCGUCCUUUUGGGAUUUUCGUCUUGAGUCUUCCUUUUUCACUUUUUCUUUUUUCAUUUUUUUUAUUUUUUUCAAGCAUAGUAUUUCUUCACAGCAUCAGAAUUUAUAGGAUGGGGUAAAUCAUUUCCAUCAAUUUCAGUUAGUAUCAGUGCUCCACCCGAAAAAGCCCAUUUCACCACAUACGGCCCUUCCCAAUUCGGAGUCCAUUUUCUUCUACUAUCGUGUUGGAUUGGGAGAAUUCUUUUCAAGACCAACUCUCCUUCCCGAAAACAACGGGGUCGAAUCUUCUUAUCAUGAGCCCUCAUUAUUCUCUUUUGAUAUAGCUGACCAUGGUACAGUGCAGUCAUUCUCUUCUCUUUUAUGAAAUUUAACUGCUCAUAACGUUCUCGAAUCCAUUCAGUUUCUUCCAACUCAACUUCUUUUAAUACUCUCAAAGAGGGAAUCUCUACUUCCACUGGUAGUACAGCCUCCAUCCCAUAAACCAACGAAAAUGGGGUUGCCCUAGUAGAGGUGCGAACUGACGUUCGAUAUGCAUGCAAUGCGAAUGACAACUUCUCAUGCCAAUCUUUGUAAGUCUCGGUCGUUUUCUCUAAAAUCCUAUUUAUGUUCUUAUUGGCUGCCUCAACUGCCCCAUUCAUUUUCGGACGGUAUGGUACCGAGUUAUGAUGCUUGAUCUUGUAUUGAGCAUAUAUUUCUUGCAUAAUCUUACUAUUUAAAUUCUUGGCAUUGUCUGAAAUUAUUCUCUCCGAAAGUCCAUAUCUACAGAUGAUCUCUUUCUUUAUGAACUUACAAACCACGGAGCGUGUCACAUUUGCAUACGAUGCUGCCUCUACCCAUUUUGUGAAGUAAUCUAUCAUCGCAAAAAUGAAUCUGUGCCUGUUAGAAGCCUUUGGGCUGAUUGGACCAAUGACAUCCAUGCCUCACAUUGAAAAUGGCCAUGGUGGUGCCAUAACAUGUAAAGCAGAUGGUGGAGCACGAAUCCUAUCAGCAUAUAUCUGGCAUUUAUGACAUUUACGAGCAUAAUCAAUGCAAUCGUUCUCCAUAGUCAACCAGUAAUAUCCCGCUCUCAUAAUCUGUCUUACCAUCAUAUGUCCACUAGUAUGUGUCCCACAUAUUCCAUCAUGCACCUCUUCAAUGAUUUUUUUUGCUUCAGUCUCAUUUACACACCUCAAUAGUACUUGAUCCUUGCUUCUUUUGUAAAGAAUAUCCCCAUCCAGGAAAAAGCUCAUAGCCAAUCUUUGGAUGAUCCUUUUAUCAUUUUCUGUUGCAUGAACUAGAUACUGCUGCUCCUCGACAUACUAUAAGAUGUCAUAAUACCAUGAUUUUCCAUCUUCUUCCCUCUCUACAUUAGAAUAAUACGCUUGUAUAUCUUUAACAUCUAACUUGAUAGGUUGAAUGUCGAUAUUAUCAUUAAUUCAAAUCAUUACAGUCAGAGUAGCCAAUGCAUCAGCAAUCACAUUCUCUUCCCGGGGUAAGUGAUCAAACUGGACAUCUUCAAAUUGUUUCAUCAACUCUAGAAUAUACUUAUGAUAUGGAAUGAGUUUUGAGUCUCUCGUCUCCCAUUCUCCUUUCAAUUGAUAUAUGACUAGAGUUGAGUCUCCAAACACUUUCAGUACUUUCACUCUUCUAUCUAUAGCAGCUUGCAGGCCCAUGACACAUGCCUCAUACUCAGCGAUAUUAUUUGUGCAAUUGAAAUUUAACCUCGUCGUUACAGGGUAGUAUUGUUCUUCUGGAGAAAUCAGAAUUGCCCCAAUUCCAUGCCCCAAGGCAUUAGCAGCUCCAUCAAAGUACAUUCUUCAACAUUUAUCUCCAUGCUCCCUUUUUUCUAAUUGAGAAAUAGUCAUCAAGUCUUCAUCAGGGAAUUCUAACUUCAUCGACUCAUACUCUUCAGCAGCACGAUCUGUAAGAAAUUCUGCUAUAGCGCCUCUUUUUAUCACUUUUUGGCUCACAUAUAUAAUAUCAUAUUCCGAGAGCAUUACUUGCCAUCUAGCGAUUCUCUCAGACAAAGAAGGCUUCUCGAAGAUAUACUUAAUUGGAUCUAAUUUUGCUAUAAGCCAUGUAGUGUGAUAGAGCAUAUACUGUCUGAGUCUUUUGGCAGUCCACGCUAAUGCACAACACAUUUUCUCCAAUAAAGAAUACUUGGAUUCAUACUCCGUGAACUUUUUACUCAGAUAGUAAAUAGCUCUCUUCUUUCGGCUAGCCUCAUCUUGCUACCCCAACACACAUCUCAUUGAAUUUUCACAUACAGUUAAGUAUAAGAUUAAAGGUUUCCCUGGAACAGGUAGCGCCAAUACUGGAGGGUUUGAUAAAUAUUGCUUAAUUUUAUCAAAUGCCUUUGACAUUCUUCAUUCCAUUUCCCAGGAUUAUUCUUACGGAGAAGCUUAAAGAUGGGAUCACAUUUGUAAGUAAGCUGAGAGAUGAACCGAGAAAUGUAGUUCAAUCUCCCCAGAAAACCUUGAACUUCUUUUGGUGUGCUGGAGGUGACAAAUUUUGGAUGGCCCGUAUCUUAUCGGGAUCGACUUCAAUUCCUCUUUCACUGACCACAAAGCCUAGUAACUUUCCCUGACNNNNNNNNNNNNNNNNNNNNNNNNNNNNNNNNNNNNNNNNNNNNNNNNNNNNNNNNNNNNNNNNNNNNNNNNNNNNNNNNNNNNNNNNNNNNNNNNNNNNNNNNNNNNNNNNNNNNNNNNNNNNNNNNNNNNNNNNNNNNNNNNNNNNNNNNNNNNNNNNNNNNNNNNNNNNNNNNNNNNNNNNNNNNNNNNNNNNNNNNNNNNNNNNNNNNNNNNNNNNNNNNNNNNNNNNNNNNNNNNNNNNNNNNNNNNNNNNNNNNNNNNNNNNNNNNNNNNNNNNNNNNNNNNNNNNNNNNNNNNNNNNNNNNNNNNNNNNNNNNNNNNNNNNNNNNNNNNNNNNNNNNNNNNNNNNNNNNNNNNNNNNNNNNNNNNNNNNNNNNNNNNNNNNNNNNNNNNNNNNNNNNNNNNNNNNNNNNNNNNNNNNNNNNNNNNNNNNNNNNNNNNNNNNNNNNNNNNNNNNNNNNNNNNNNNNNNNNNNNNNNNNNNNNNNNNNNNNNNNNNNNNNNNNNNNNNNNNNNNNNNNNNNNNNNNNNNNNNNNNNNNNNNNNNNNNNNNNNNNNNNNNNNNNNNNNNNNNNNNNNNNNNNNNNNNNNNNNNNNNNNNNNNNNNNNNNNNNNNNNNNNNNNNNNNNNNNNNNNNNNNNNNNNNNNNNNNNNNNNNNNNNNNNNNNNNNNNNNNNNNNNNNNNNNNNNNNNNNNNNNNNNNNNNNNNNNNNNNNNNNNNNNNNNNNNNNNNNNNNNNNNNNNNNNNNNNNNNNNNNNNNNNNNNNNNNNNNNNNNNNNNNNNNNNNNNNNNNNNNNNNNNNNNNNNNNNNNNNNNNNNNNNNNNNNNNNNNNNNNNNNNNNNNNNNNNNNNNNNNNNNNNNNNNNNNNNNNNNNNNNNNNNNNNNNNNNNNNNNNNNNNNNNNNNNNNNNNNNNNNNNNNNNNNNNNNNNNNNNNNNNNNNNNNNNNNNNNNNNNNNNNNNNNNNNNNNNNNNNNNNNNNNNNNNNNNNNNNNNNNACGGCUCGGGGGAGCGGCUUGGAAGCUCGACUCAGCUCGGCUCAGCUUGGAGGAGGGGCAGCACGCGCGGGUCAGGAAAGCGGGUCGACGCUCGGGUCGAGUCGGGUUCGGCAAAACGCGCGGAUCCUCUAGUUAACUUAAAGCCAAAACGACGUCGUUUUGGGAGGGUAUAAAAGGCAAUCCCCUUCAUUUUUUGACAGAAUGCUCCUCCCCUCUCUCUCUCUUCUUCUCUUUUCCUCUCUCUUCUCUCUAAAAGCUGAAGAACACCGGUGUCGAAUUCUGAAAAAUAUCGCCGGAAUCUGAAAAUUUCGUCGGAAGUUGGUCGGAAUAUCACCGGUUUCUGGGAAUCUUCGUCGAAAACUGGGCAGGUUGCCGGAAACUUCAAUGUUCGUCGGAAUUGUAGCCGAAAAAUUCAAAUUUUGCCAAAAUUUUAGUCGAAAUCUGGAAAUUUCCCAAAAAUUUUUCAGAAAAAUUUUUCGCCAAAAAUUUCUAAAAAUUUUUUCUCACUCCCAGAACACUCCUAAACUUUUCCUAGCUUCCUAUACGCCUCUUUUUCUCUCAAAUCAGUAGCUUUGCUUACUGUUUUCCGUGUGUUUCAUUCUGUUUCAGGAGGUGCCUUUUAUAGGGGUUGAUCAGGAGUUCCUGAUCAAUCCCAAUUCCUUCUUGGACGGGGAUUCAAUCUUUGAAUCCAAUUGGACUCUUCUGAUUGAGUUCCCCUCCAUAGUGGGAUUCUUCAUCUUUUAAUCCCAGCCAUCCAAAAGAGAAAACAAAGAAAAGAAAGAAAAAAAAUAAUAAUAGUAAAAAAAAUCAGAUACGGAUCAAGAAAAGAGAGAAAAAAAAAGAUUAUUAACAGAUAAUUAGGGACACAAUAAGAUAAACCAACCAAAAAAAAAUAUUACAAGAAAAAAAAAAGAAAAUAAUUAUAAUAUAAUAAUAUAAAUAUAAUACAUAUAAAUAUUAACAGAGAAAAAAAUAAAUAAAUAAAUAAAGAUAUACAUAUAUUAAUAUAUAAUAAUAAUAAUGAAUAAUAAAAUAUGUAAAAUACAAAAGAAGAAAAAAGAAAAAAAAAUAAUACAGGAUAAAAUUGAAUUGGGCCUUGCCCAUUUGGGUCAGGCCCAAUUGAUAUGGGCCUGGACCCAAUUGGGUGUCUACAGGUUGGAUUGAUCAAAUUUAUGAUCCGACACCUAGAUCAGUUUAGUUUUAUUAUUAGAAAAAAUUUUUAACUAAUCCAGUUCAAACCACAUUGAAUCAAUAAUAUAAUUAAUAAAUCACUACAUGAAAAUAGAGAUUUAGUGGUUGUUUUUUAGAGGCAUUUUUAAAUAAAUGGCAUAAAGUUUUGUAUUUUUAUAAGGUUAGUAGCAUUUUUUUUAUAAAAUCUCACUAAAUUCUUAUAUAAUGGGAUUUAGAUUUAAAAACGUCACUAAAAAUAUACUUUUAGUGGCAUUGGUUGACCUAAACGCUACUAUAUACUUUCACUUUUAUAAAUUUGGCUACGUUUAUAUAAACGUCGCUAAAAACAAAUCUAUAAACUAAAAAAAAAACUCAAAGAGCAUUUGGUUCCGGGGAAUCCAAAUAUUUUUCAUCAGUAUCUUACUGUUAGGUAUUUGAUUCCCACUUAUGAUUUAGGUUAAUCUGAUUUCAGAGAAAACUGACAGAUUUUUAACAUUACCCAAAGUCCUGAAAUUAGAAACCCACCUCUUCUUAUGGUAGUCUAGGAUCCGAGGGGAGAAGUAGCGUUAUUUUCAAAUUUGACCUGACUAAAAAAUUAUGAAAUAGUCGUUUCUAUUUUGAAAAGCAUAUCUGGUAAUGAAUGCAAGUCAGUUGUUGGUUUCUAGUAGUAAAAAAUUUGGUUUAUAUAUGGCAUUUCGCAUAAAAAAUGCCUUUAAUAAUCCCUUAUAAAAAAAUUUGAAUGGGGUUAUUAAAAGCAUUUCUAGCUAAAAAUACAUUAAAUAAUCCCUUUCAAUUUUUAUGAGAGGAUUAUUCAAAAUAUUUUUUAGGGUUAUUGAAGGCGUUUCUGGCCAAAACGCCUUGAAUAAUGCCCUUCAAUUUUUAUUAAAGGGGAUUAUUCAAGGUGUUUUUGAUCAAAAACACAUUUAAUAGCCCCAUUCAAUUUUUUGUAAAAGAUUAUUCAAGGCAUUUUUUGGCAAAAAAUACCUUGAAUAAUUUCAAAAAAAAAAAUGGAAGGGAUUAUUAAAAGCAUUUUGGGCCAAAAAUGCCUUGAAUAAUCCCUUCUAAUUUUUUAAUUGGAGGGGAUUCUUCAAGGCAUUUUUUACCAUAAAUGCCUUGAGUAAUCCCAAAAAAAAAUUGGAGGGGAUUAUUGAAAGUGUUUUUGGCAAAAAAAUGCAUUGAAUAAUCACAAUUUCCCGCUGCUAAUUUCUCUUAAAUUUCAAAUUCGAGAGACCUACUUUCUACUUUCCUUUCCCCUAUUCAUUUCUUCCAUUUAUGCUCAUUUUGGGUAGCUUUCUUCUCAUUUUUGGCCUAAGUUUCAAUCAUUUUGUGGUCAAUUUUUAUCUUUUUCCUUUCAUUUUUGCAAAUUUCAAGUUAGCUUUCUUGCGUUUUAGGUCCAAUCCUUAAACUUUCUGUUUGAUUUGUUCGGUCAAAUCCUUAAACUUCAUGUCUGAUUUAUUGCAUUUUUGUCACCACUGAAGUUCCAUUGGUAAGCUCUAUUUCAAUAUUGGCAAUUUUCAAUGUUUGGCCAUUUGAUUUAUUGCGUUCUUGCCACCGUUCAAGCUCCACUGGUAAGCUCCAUUUUAAUAUUGGCAAUUUUCAAUAUUUGGCUAUUCUUUUUCUUUUUUACCAAUUUAUUUUGUUAUUGCAGUUUUGAGUUUGAUUUUAUUUUGUUGGUGAGAAAAAUUCAAGAUAGAACAUAAAGUGAAACAAAUAGGGUUUUUCUCUAAAAAACUUAAAAUUGAACAUUGAAUUUAGUUACAAACACGAAUGAAAUUUUAGGUUUAAUUUUUUUUUUCAAUAGAAUAUUUUUGAAAUUAUUAAAAAAUUGUUACUUGUUAAUAUGAAUUUGUUAAUUCAUUCAAUAUAUAUGUAGACACUCAUAUAUGUCUAGAGUCUAUCGCAUCAAUUUUUAUUAUUUUUGCCAUUACUAUUACAUUACUAUACUCUUAGUAUAUUACUACAAUACUAUUAUUAUAAUAUUAUAGUAUUAUAUUAUAUUAUUAUUAUUAUAGUAUGUUGAUGUUAUAUUACUUUUAUUAUAUUAGUAUUAUAUUAUAUUAUAUUAUAAUAGGUUAUCAUAUUAUGGUUAUUAUUAUUAUUAUUAUUAUAUUCGAUAUUAUUAUUAUUUUAUUUUUUUAUCAGAUUUUCUUUCCUUUUUCCUGAUCGGGGCUAAACAAAUUAUGGAAAUCAAAAUCAAAUUAGUUAGUCAAAGGUUUUUAAUGCAGAAUCAUGUUUGGAUAACGGUUGAAUUCAAUGGUGAUUAAAUCCAUGAACAAAAUCAUGCUUGUGUAGAAUAUAAUUCCAGGAUUCAAGCCUGAGAUUGAUUCUAUUCGUUUCCUAAAAUUUGUUAUAAGGGGGCCUAUAAAUUAAACAAGAAAUCAAAGGAAUGAUAGAGAAAAAUAAGUGAAAAGCUGAGGUUAUUAUUUUGGAAAUAAUUUUUAGGCAAUAGGGUUUUCUUGAAAAAUUUGGUUUUCUAAGACUUGGAUUCUUGGGAGUUCUGGGUUUCAUCUAAAGUUUCUAGGUUUAGAUUUGGGAUUCUAAGAUUAGGUUUAGAUUUUUUGAGGGAUUUUGGAGAAUUUGGGAAAAAUCAAUUUUUGUCUAGAAACUUUUAGAAUUUUAGAAAAAUAUAUAAAUUUUUCAAUGAAGUUUUUUAGUGGGAGUUUGAAGUUUUCGUUAAGAUUCCGACAAGAUUCCAAAAACCAACGAAGUUUCUAGAUUUUGGUUAAAUUUGUGUGUAGGUUUUUAGAGAGAAAAUAGAGUUUUUAGGUUAGAGAGAGUAUGGGUAGAAGGUUUAUGAAGCUAAACGUAAAGGCUUGGCUUUUGCACUGGUCCAAAAUGACAACAUUCUGAACACUUUAGAUCUGCGCGUCUACCUAGUAACCCGCAUAAAGAUCUGUGAACAAACCUGACUCAUUUUGCAGUUUGUUUUUCAUUUUCAUUUUAUUUUAUUUAUUUUCUUAAGUUUUUAUUUUAUUUUCAGUAAUUUUUUUAUUUAAUUUUACUAGUUUUCAAAAAAAAAAAGAAAAACCUUUUUUGGAAAAUUAAAGAAGCAAAGAAUAAAAAAAUCUUUUCGAAAAGGAAAAAAAAGCUAAAUAAAAAAAAAUCUUUUCAAAUAAGUUUAAAAAACAAAGAAAUAAAUCUAAAAAUGAAAUCUUUUUCAAAUAAAUUUAAGGAAUCCACCAAACUAUUGAAAAUUUUCAUAAAUUAGUUUUUUUUCAAAAAAAUAAUAGAAUAAUUUUUUCCCUCUAAAUUAUUGAAGGAUUAUUUUUAAAUUAAGUCCUACCACACUAUUGGGAGACUUAAAGAAACUCACAAAAUUUUUAUAAAUCUUUGUAUGAUAAAAUCUCGCCAUGCUAUUGAAAGAUCUGUUUCAAAGUAAGUCCUACCAAACUAUUGAAAGACUUUACUAAUUUUUCUGGAACAAAAUAAAUUAAAAAAUCUAAUGAUGAAGCCUCUUCAGAGUGGGACACUAGUCACUAUGAAUACUCUUGAUGUGAGAAAAUUAUCUUAAAUUGCUAUCAAACUAUUGGGACAAUUUUAAGGCUAAUUCUUGAUGUUAAAUAAUUUGGUAAAUUACAAAUAUGAUCAAGUUUGGAUAAUCUGAAAUGAAACUGGUACCAUUGUUUGGAUGAGCAUUAUGGGGGUGCUAUAACCUUUUCCAUGCUUAACUGUACUCCCAAACCUAAAAUUUGGUUUCGUAGAUUCAAUCAGGUGGCCAAUCACACCUAAACAAAAAGGAUUGGUAGUGACUUCUCUAAUCCAUGUCUAGUGGUAGGUCCACAGAUUUAUACGUUAUGACAAUUUGACGACUCCACUGGAGAACAUCGAGAGUCAAGUCAGUCAAUGAUUGCUUAUUAUCAAAGCCUUACUUAAUAAAUUUGAGAUUAUUUUUUAUCUUUCCUAUUUAUUUCUUUUCAUUGCUUAUACUUGCUUAAUUAUUUAUUUAUUUCUUUUCAUUGCUUAUGCUUGCUUAGUUAAUUAAUUACUUAUUUAUUUAUUUAUUAUAUUUGUCAUUCAUUUGCAUGUGCAUAAUAUAAGCUUGCCACCUAAGCUCUACCUUUAAAAGGGAGUGAAAUACUUAUACCAUUGUGAGAUUUUAUCUUCGUAUGGGCCUGUGAAACACUUUCACUCAAAUUAAACCCUUUCUGCUGGUAGCCUACGCUUGUUGAGGAUCAGGGUGCCUUACUAGUCUGUGAUGGUAAUGAUGUAAGGAACAAUUUGAAAACCUUUUAGAGUUAACCCAAAUCGCAUAUAGUUAACCUUAAAAGCCCAAUCAUAGGUGAAGCUUUAACCUUCCACCCUUCAUAGUCAAUCCAAACUUCAAGGUAAUGCUAUUAUCUUACUUGUUAAAUGGUGCUUAUUCUAUGCUUUUUUUUUUUAUUAUUGAAGUGACUAACUAAUUUACUUAUCUUAUUUUAUUUCUUUUUUUCUUGUGCAUAUUCAUAAACAUACUUAUAGCUUGCAUAGUAUUUUACCCUAAAAGCCAUUUCAACAAAAGCUCUCAUAGACUCCACAAAAUGUCAGGUUUGUGCCUCAUCUAUACUUUUCAGAUGUGACUCACCUAUAAAUGUGAAGUUAGAAUCAAAGAAGAGGUAGUAAGAAGAAAUAGAUUGCUUACUACUUGGCUAUAUUUCCAUACUAUCAAAGGAAGUUCAGUUGCUCCUCAAAUAAAAUGAUUAGAAAAGCCUAUCAGACAUAUGGAACAGCAUGACUCCUUCAAGGUAGGAAGCUUUUUGUCAAAAGUUUAUGCAUAUUGCAUAUAUCUUAUCAAUAGAUGCUGAUAACACACUUAUUAAGGUGAUGGUAUAAUUUUAGGAUCCUUCCUACCUUUGCUUCAUCUUUAAUGAGGUUGAUUUGGUGCUAAUGAUAGAGGAGUAUUUAAUUUUAGUGGGUAUACAUCUAUUAUAUCUAGACAAAAUAUAUGUGAAGAAACACAAAUAAAAAAAUCGUACUAAAUUAGACCAGAUUUUUGAGGGUCGAGGUAAAAUUUUUUGGUAAACUACAAAAUAAAAGUAAAGCUUAGACUUAGAAAGAUAAUAAAACCAACAAUUUUAAAACAAAAAUCGAGCUAAAAUGAUAAUUACUACUUAGAGGGACUACAACCUUAUAGAACCUUCUGGUCAUAUUAGCACUUUCUCGUUAAGAGUGUACUCUAAACUCAUACAAAUUUUUUUUAAUAGGGUCUUAAAGCUUAGGCCUUAAGAUUUUCUAAAGAAGAAAAGGCUUCGAUCAUUUGUUUAUUGUUAGAAGGGGAGUUGUUAUAGUGACCUCCUUAUGCACUGUCAUUUUUUGCUUAUCUUGGGCAUGGCAUAAACCUAAGUUGAUAAACUCGACUGCGUGUUGGGAGAGGAAUUUAUUAGCUUAUACCUCCCUUAAAAGAGGACACUAAGCUAAAACAAUUACUUUUUAUUACCUUUUUUGGGCCUGGACUUGUGUGUAUAUAAAUGAAAAUUAAAAUCCUUAGAUGGUCAGGAAGUCAUCUCUAUAAAGAUGAGCUAAGAGUUAGAAAAAAUGAAUAAAGUCAAAGACCUUAUGAGGUUACGUUACACCUAUCCUACUAUUUAAACUUGUUUACCAUUUUAAGAAAGGUCAGCUUGUACGCAUCUAUAACCAAUUUUUUUGUUCGGGUAUAGUCCAUUAUUUUAUCUCGAUUUAUAAGGUCAAAUGUAGAGAAAGUAAUGGGCAAAUCAAGAAAAUUCUCAAACUUAUUUAUGAUCUUUCAUACUUUGAACUCACCUUCUUUAUUAAUUUUUUCAUUCUGGAUGCAGAGGUAGAGCAGCUUCCAGUUCUUUAUUGAGCUUGGACAGUUUACAAAAUUUUUUUUAUUAAGGUGAGCUAUUACAUAGAACCACUUCUUAUCGUUAGGUGCCUCUUAGUGAAGAAGAACUCCCUAAAUAGAAGGAGGGUAUGAAGAAUAUCUAAGUGUUGGCAAAAAAUUAUGAUUGUUACUAUGUGCCGAAAUGAAUUAGGGGUGAGCUGGUUAAGUGGUAAAUUAUAAAAAAAAAUUUCAAUAAACAAAACAUGAAAAGGGAACCUCAAAUCGACCAUUAUUGAGUUUUAAUAUACCAAAAGCUGACGAGCUUCUAGCUUAUUAGUAUUCGAUUUAAGGUGUUUAACAUUAAUAAACUAUACCCUUUUUUAAAAAGUGAAAGUCAACUCAUAGAAAAUGGAUGUGAUUAGUAGAACACAUAUUAAAGGCAGCCAUCGAGGUUAGCCUUGCCUUUAAGUUCUUCAUGACAUCUUUAUGGAUAAUGCCUAAGAUCAGAGAGUAUAUAUGGGGACCUUAACUAGCUCAUCUGGUUUCAAAAAAGACUCUCAUUCACCUUCAUCUUCUUCGGUUGGGUUAUUUUCUCUUAUCUGCUCUUUUUUCAAACCCUCUUGUCAUUAAAGUCUUUAUUGUUAGAAAACUUAAACCAUUGAGUAAGAAUAAGAUUCUAAGUUGGAAUAGUGGUAGAGAUCACUACAAUAUUAGAAGAAUACGAGGGAUGAAAAGACUUCUAAAAUAAAGAAAAGACAUUAAUGAGAGUUGAUUGCGAUGGAAAGAAAGAAAGAAUAUGAGCAUUGAUAAUAGAUUGAAGAGUAGAAGAGUUAGAAAGAUGAUGAGGCUAAACCUCAAAAGAAGAAAUAGCCAAGGAAGAAUGAAUGUCAUUUGAAAAAGUUGGUCCGAUCUAAAAGAUUAAAAAAAAAAGAUUCUUUAAUUCAAAAUCAAUUUAAGCACACAACUCGUCCACAUUGAGGAGCUAUUCUCUUUGAGCUUGAGCACUAUCUCCAGCCCCUUUUACUCUUUCUUAAACAUUGGGUUCAGCCAGUAAGCCAUUUUAUUAUAGUUUUAACUAGCAAUGACUAAUGGGACUAGGUCAUCAUCAUCGUGCUUGAGCCUCUCUAGGCGCUACCCUAUAACUACCUUUACCCUGGAACUAACGCUAGUAGACAUGAUGAAAGGAUACGUACCGAAGUGAGAAGGGAGAGUAAUUGGAAAGAAAGAAAAACUUUAAGAUUGGAAGCAGCUUGAAAGCUUUUAGGUUAGAAGAUUAAGGUCGGAUCAAGAGUGAAAAAAUAAAAUAAUGAAAAAUAAAAGUCCCAAUAACCCUUUAUAUAGUUGCAUCUCAUAUCAGAUUAAUAGUCCAAAUCAUGCCACAUGUUAGAAUAUCAUUAGAGAAUGUCUUUUCACCUUUACCACUUUGGAUUUUACUACUUAAAAACCUUUUUCCUUAUUAAAUGUGAUCUUACGCAUUUGAAUUGGCCAGAUUGGUCAAAGAGUCUAGGUUGAACCUGUUGGGUGAACCAAUUCCCAUAUCAGCCCCAGGUAGACAAUGAUCAAAUUCUAGAAAAUACUAAGUUUCACCUCAAGGUGAACAAACCUGGCCGGCUCGUCUAAAUGCUCUUUCAUCUUCACCUCGGACAACCCAAAUCAAAGUCACUUCAGUAAUCCCUGAAUAGAUCAUAUACCAACCUAAAGUACAUGCAUAAAAUUAGACUAAUGCCAGGUUAGCAUAAGCCAAAACCCGUCUAGAUCGAGUCAAACAACAAAUGUAGACCUCUAACACUUAUCCAUCAUGUUAGCCGCAUAAAUAUUCGACCUUAGUGAUAAAAGGUCAGAUCCUAGGCAAUUUUUCAAAGCCCAUAUUUUUAGAGUUUGAGUUCACAAACAUAUGUAAAAAAAAGGCUAAUCACACUCCAAACAAUGUAAUACUUGGACUAUUUGGCGAUGGGACCGAAUGUCAAGGGCAUUUAGUGGUCAAAAGGGUAUUGUAAUUUUUUCCCUUAUUAGAGAUUCUUAACAAACAACUAGGGGCAUUUUGGACAUUUGGGCCAACUUAACAUAUCAGACUGACUUGACAUAUUUAGUACCAUAUUAGUUUGGUCAUGUCACUAUUGCUCCCUAUGGGCCCCUCGCCUUUUGCCUAUAAAUAUGGACAUCCAAAGUACUAUCAUUUCAUUCUAUAUCUUGCUCCAAUUUCCUAUCUUUCUUGCUUUCUCUCUUUUUGACCUUCUUUAUAUCAUUCUUUGGCUUACGUGUUAGAGUGCAAAUGUAGAGAACAUUCAUUGCCUUUGCUUCUAACUUUUUUUUUCUUUUUUUUAUCUUUUUAGAGAUACCUUUAAGUUGAAGCUUGGCACAAACAAUGGUAUUGAAGGAAGUUUUAGGCUAGGAAUUUUUAAAGGAGAGGGAGCCUAGGACAAUGUGAGAGACAGUUGAAAAUAGAGGUUUUUGAAAUGAUGGAAUGUGGGGAUUUUUUGGUUAGAGUGAAAACUUUCGUGCUAGGUUUAGGAAAUCUACAAACUUUUGGAAAAAUCUAAUCUUGUUGGUUGAAAAAAAGGAUCAAGGGGAGUUUCUUGUUGUUUUUUGGAAGCCAACCAACAUCGAUGAGUGGCAGUCGACAAUGACUAAAGGUGGAAAAGGUGGCAGCCAGUGGCAGCAAAUUGUAGGAAUCUGGGAUUAGGUAGCUAAUGUUCUUGGAUUUUGAGAGUGUUGAAAGCUUUUUUUAAAGGAAAUGUUUACAAUGAAAUAAGAAAAAACAUAUCUUUUAUAAAAAAAAAUGAAACGAUUAAUGAGCUGGAUUGGACCUAAGGUUUACGCACCCAACUUGUGCUAGGCUGCAACUGGUCAUCCUUGGAUUGGUCCAAUCAAACUGUGACUAAAUUGGUCAAAUAUGUCUCAUCACCUAAAUAGUCUGAGGAACCAUUGAAUUGGACCAAACCAUUAUUAAACUAUUGACCAAUUUUGACCAACUUUUUUGGAUAAUUUUUUUAUUUGUAUACUUUAUUAAGUUAUUUAUUUGUUUAUCUAUACACUUUUAAAUUUUAAAAAUAAAUAUAUAUUUUAAAAAUCUUCAAAAAAAAUCAUUCGAUGAUGAAAUAUUAAGGAAAUAUGAGUAGUGAUUCCUUAAAAAUCUUUAAGUGAUGAUAUUUUUCUAAAAUGCUAUUAAAGUACUGGAAUAUUUAGGAAGAUAUUCAAUACAAAAUAUUUCAUUUACUUAUUUUUUAUAUUGUUAAAAUUAAAAAAAAAUAACGAAUGAGUUUUUUUAGGAAUAAAAUUACAUAUAAUAAUGCAUGAAUAUUAUUGACAUUAAUUAAUUAAAAAAUACGAUCAUUCGAAAAUGGUAUUUUAAGGAAAUCCUAGUGGUGAUUUCUAAGAAAUCUAUAGGUGAAAAAAUUUCUCCUAAUGUUACCAAUGUCUUUGAAUGUUUCAAGAAAUUUUCAAUAACAAGUUUCCAAUUUAUUUUUCAAAUAAAAAAGGAAAUAAUAUUUUUUAUUUAAAGUAAAAGAAUUAAAAAGAGAAAAUUUUUUGAAGGAAAUUAAACAAAUCAAAAUUAUGAUAAAAAAGGUUAAAAAUAAUUUUUAAAUAUCAAAAUUAAAACUUUUUUUAUCACUAUUAAAGGAUAACACAUGAUUACUCUAUAAUGUUUUAAAAAGGUCAAUGUGGCAUAUUAAUUUUUCUCCACAUAUAAUCGUAUUUUCAAAUUUAAAUUAUUUUGACAAACAUAAAAAUUAUAUUUUUAAUAAAUUUUAAUUAAUUUUAAAUUUUAUUAAAAAUAUAAAAUUUUUUAAGUGAUCAAUCACAUUUGACCAAAAUAAAUAAUAACCACUUAUAUUUUUCAAUUCGAAUGGCGGUUCUCAAAAAUAAAAUAACUAAUUAAAUAUGUAAAGAAAAAAUAGAAUUUAAAUAAAAAAUAAAAAAUAAAAUAAAAACGAAGGAAACUGACGCACGGCAGGUCUUAUAUCCAUUAAGUAAAACUUACACUGAUUAAUAUCUAGGAUAUAUAUAGAUAGAUAUAAUCGCAAUUAAAGACUUUGAAGGCUUGAAAUGCUGCCCUAAAUUUCUUGGCCCAUCUGCCUCAUUUGUUUAAAACAUACUCUGUGUUCGUGGUGGAUUUGGAUUCGGUUAGAUUCCUCGGCAGAAUGGGCUCUUUGACGGUUGCAGAUUUUAAGAAGAAAAUCAUGUCUCGUUGUUAUGUAAUAAGUUGAAUGAGCCACCAACCACCUUCGUCGCCAUUUUUUACUGGACCAGGUCAUUCUUUUUUACUCAAGUAGAUUCUCGAAAUUGCACGAUUGUAGGAAGCUUAGCUACCUUGCUACACCAGCUCACCACAGACUUCUUUGAACUUGGUCGAUUGUUUUGAACAAUACAUUAUUCUUGGAAUUCAAACAAAAAUGGUUGGAAUUCAAACUAAACUUCAAUUAAAGUGAUUUUUUAGCUCUUAAUCAUGUUCUGUACGUACUUUAAAUUCAUUGGAUCUAAAAUAUCUAACCAAAUACAAGUUGAUUAAUGGUCCUUUUUCGGAUAGGUAGUUGUUGGUCAUGUCAAUGGUCUAUAUAGUAGUAUAUAUUGGCAUGUUGUGUCACGAAUUAUAUCUCAAGUGAUAACAAAAAAUUAACCCAACUUCUAUAGCUCCAAACUAAAGCUUUCUUCAUGGCUCUUCAAUCCUCCAAAAUUUUGGUUACUACCUCCAAAGUUUUAGAUCAAAAAAUUGUUAGGCGAUCUGCUAAUUACCAUCCUACAAUUUGGAAGACGAUUAUGUUUAGUCGCUCAAGAGUGAUUAUAUGGUAUGCAGAAUGCUAAUUACCGAUGUGUGUGUGUGUAUAUAUAUAUAUAUAUAUAUAUAUAUAUAUAUAUUUGAGCAUGACAGGUAGCUAAUAGAGUUGCUCAUCGUCGAUGUAUAGGGCGAAUCAUAUGGUGAACGAGCAGUGAAACUGUUGGGAGAAGUGAAAAUGAGGCUUGACAAGUGGUGGAUCCUUUGGAGCAACUCUAGCUAGUCGAUGCGGUAAAGAGACUCGGAUUAUCUCAUUACUUUGAGAAUGAAAACAAGAGGAUUUUGGAGUGUGUAACGGCUGAUCAUAACAAUUUAUAUGCUACAUCACUUGAAUUUAGACUCGUAAGGCUGAAUGGGUAUAAAGUAACUUCAGGUAAAGGUCCAAGUAGUCCAAAUAGGCUCCUAUAAUACUUUUUCAAGCUUAUUUGGCUACAAAUUCAAUAGAAAGGAGUGCUUGGAAUGCUUCGAAGAGUGUUCCAACCUAAUCAAGUUUUCAUCUGUGAUUGGACGACUUGCGGAUGAUCUUGGAACAUCAUCGGUAUGAAAUAUACAAGCAUCAUUGCUUGCUGUGAAUUGAAAUAUAUUUAUGUAAUGCUUUACCCUUUGGAUUUUCUUGAUUAGGAUGAGUUGAAAAGAGGCGAUGUUCCUAAAUCAAUCCAAUGUUACGUACACGAACUGGAUGAAGAAGCCCGUCAGCACAUAGGGGCAUCGAUUGAUGCAUGGUGGAAAAGGCUAAACGAAGAGCGAUUUGCUCAUUCUCAUUUUUCUCAGACGUUUAUUCAAAUCGCAUUGAACGUGCCAAGGAUGUUUCAAUGCAUGUACCAGCAUGGUGAUGGCCAUGGGGCUGGAGAUCGUGAGACCGAGGAUCGUGUAUUAGCAUAAAUCGUUUUUCCUAUUCCAUAAGAGUAUUCAGACCAAAAUAAUUGGAGGUGAGGUGAUAUAGCAAUCCUUUUGUAAUAACUUUUUUCAGUUAAAUUUCCAAAUCUUGAGCCUCUAUAAAUAUAAAUUCAAAUAAUUGAUAAGUUUGCUGCUCUUAGCGAGUUUAUAGGUAACAAAAUUUCUCUCUCUAUCCAUCUCAAUUAGCUUUGUAAUAAUUUUGCUACGCUAGUGUCUUAAUUCCUUGAACAUGUGAUUUGGGUUUUUUUAUUAGUUUAUCUUUUCUAGAUCAGAUAUAAACAUGUCCAUGAAUCGGGCUUAAUAUUUGGUCCGCAAGUAAAGUUUUUAUUUAUUUAUGUUAAUUUGGUUUCUAGUCUAAUUAUAUUUUCAGCCAUAAUUUUACAUUAUAUUAAAGAGCAAUAUAUUAAAUUCCCGCAAAUAAAAAUAUUUCUUAGCCAAUUCCUUUAUUAUUAUUUUUAUUAUAUCCCUAAUUAAGUGUAAUAAUUAAAUUUAUCAAAUUACUUAAAAAAUUGUUAGAAUAAAAACAUAUAAUAAUUACCAUACACAUUGCUUCCUACCUUCAAGAAUUUCGUGAUACACAUUGUAAACAAUUUGUUCAACCCAUACUCUUUUCAGUCUUCAAUCAAUUAAUUAGGAUACACACUAGCUACGGAAUUUUUUUCAAUGGACGAAAAUCUUAAACUAACUCUUUUGAUAAAAAAAAUAUAUAUGCGCUUAUUAUUUCGUACAAACACUAUACCAAAAAGAAAAAUGGCUACAGAUUUUGUUUUUUAGCGACAAGAGAAUUUUUAAUUUUAUCUAAUAUAUUUUUUCUUGGAACUGAUUUAAAUGAAUUUAUUUUCAAGGCCGCAUAGACCUAGGCGCACACCUGUCUGAAGAAGAAUUAUAUAUAACUGAUCGGUUGCCAUCCUGAUUUAAUUUAUAAGAAUAGAUUCGGAAGAUACCAUCCGGAUCAAUUUUCAUCAGAUAGAUUGUUUCCUUGGUAUCAUAUUCUCCUAUAAAUAUAUCCUUUAUGUUGACUCCUGCCGAAUUGAGUAAGUACAGACGGCCAUCAUUGUCGAGAUUCAAGCUCACAUUGUCUCCUUUACCAAAUGUAUUAGAUGCCCAAUACGCAGACCAUUCUGUCCAUGUAUAAUUUGCCACCGGGUAUUGUAUAAGGUUCCCAUUGGUCUGCAUAUUAAGACAAAAGAAUCCUUUCGACUGAUCAGUAUCUGAGACGCUAGAGUAUAGCUCUGUCCCAGCUAAGAGCUUUUGUCCUUGAAGAACGGUAGUGGUAGGGUAUUUAAAGCUCUCCCAGAUUUUUUCUUGGUCUGAAUUGUAUAGAACAAAAUUGCCAGAAUCAAGCAUCGAAGCUGUGGCAACUUUUUCGGUAGAAUCAGUAAUGGAUAUAUCUCGUGUUGAUCUCAGAAUGAGCCUUCCAUCAGUUGUAAGAAUAUUUUUAGCGCUGCUUGGAACAGGAGGAUCAUCUCGGCUGGCCGUCCAAACCACAGUCUUCUGUUGAACUCCAGCAAGAAAAAUUCUAACAGCAUACCCCUUAUCUUGCUGAUAAAAUCCAAAGGCAUAUAGGCCAGAAGGGGAUAGCCAUACGGGUUGGCCUGUGGGUGUUAGAGACGAGCCUAGACUUAUAUUGGAAUGCUUUGGUUGAGCUACGGCAGUUGAAAUGAUGGAGGUAGACAGAAGAAAAAGUAAUAAAAUGGCAGCCAUAGCCAAAGAGUAUAGAUUCAAUUCCUUUCUCCGGUUUUAUGAACUUAAGAGUUAUAAAAUUGUUAGAUUUAUGCUUGAAAAGUUUCCGAUCGCCAAGAGAUGGGUCUGAAAUGUCUUCCCAUUAUUUUCCCAUUCAAAACGGUAAGGCCUUAAUAUUAUUGUCUUCGUCAAGAGACUUAUGCAUGCACGAUUUCUCGUCCUCCCGAGCACCAAUUCAAAGUCUGGGGAUAUUUAGCGAAGUUUCUGCAAAGAUUUUUCCAUUGCAACUAUUCAAAGGGUUUUCGUUUAUUACAAUUAACAAGGUGGCCCUAAAACGCGUUUUAAUACAUACAUAGCAAUUCUUCAAGAAUCUUAUUUCAUUUCUCCCUUACCCCUACGACGUUAUCUUAUUCAAAAAAAUUUAAACUUAUGUAUUCGUAAAGUCGAGAUUUUAUAUUCAUAGAGCAAGUCUAAUAAGCAACUCAUGAUAAUUUGAUUUAAGGUAAAUUAUUUAAAAAAAAAAAAACCCUGUGGUCACAGGCCAAAUAAUUUUGAUCCUUGAAAAUAUAAAAAGUGCCACGUUAUUAUACCCUGAGAUUUCUUUCAUUAAUUUCCAAAUCAACACUAUUACAAAAACGUAUAUGACAUUAUCAUUGAUAUAUAUGACAUUGAUGGAGGUAAGUGUAACAAGAAAUUCAAAGAAUAAAGGAUAAUAAAGCAAGUUUAUUAAUAUCAUAUCGUAUAAUAUUUUAAUUUUUUUUUAAAAGUAUAUGUUAAUAUCAAUUGUUUCGAUAUAUUAUUUUAGAUUUUUUCAUUUAAUACAAAUAUAUUUAUAAAUAAACAUUAAUUUGUACAUAAUAAUACUAUUAAUAAUAGGCAAAAUAAAUAUAAAACACUUUAAAAAACUAAAUAAAUAAGUUUAAAAGCACAACAAAAAAUAUCAUUAAUUUAUCAUGAUAUUUUUAAACAUUUAAUCUGAUCAUAUGAUAUUUAUAUAAAUAAUUGUUCAUGUAAAAUUAAGAUAAAAGUAAAGAGAUGAAAAAGAAAUUAAUUUUAACUUUACGAUUCUUAAACUUUAAGGAGAGAGCACAAUUACUUUCUUGAAAAAAAUUAAAAUACUUAUAAUUAUUUGUUUGAAAAAAUAAAGUGUAAAAGAAAACAAGUUAUUGUAAAAAAUAAAGAAAUCCAAAUUUUAAGGGUUCUUUUACUCAUUAAUUUUAUUUUUAUUAUGUUAUAAAAAGUCAAACAACAAAAAAAAUUAAAAAUUAUAAAACAUAUUUUACAUUCAAAUACUAGCUGAAACAAGUUAUUCUAUCAAAGUUCACCCCAAUCAACUGAAACAAACAAAAAUAACCUGUUUAUCCAAUAUAAAUUCGAUAAAAAAACUCUACUCUUAAUUAUAUUGUAUUUUAAUAUAACUGAAGCAUGUUAACCGAGAUGACCAAUACUAAAAUGAAAUUUACAUCAAUGUAACGAAAAAAAAAAAAAAGAAAGGGAAAUUGAUAAAUGAUUUUGACUUUAAAAUAACGAAGAAAAAAAAAAACCUCAAAAGGGGUUAGUGUAACUUUUUUUUUUUAAGCCACGGAGCAUAUUUUAUUAUUUGUCUUUAACCGUACGGUGAAAUUUUACAUCCAAGUUAUAAUUUAAAAAGAAAAACAAAAGAUGUUACAAAUGUCAAGAGAAAAUAAAAUACACUUCUAUUGUUUAAUUAAGGGGUUUCUUUGGAACUCAGGGUUUUGCACGAGGAGUUUUCAUAGUCUUGUCAGUAUGCAGGUGUUCUUAGUUUCAGUAUAUUAGAGUAGUAAUAAGCUAUUUUAAGAACUCCGUGGUUAAGAUCUCAUGAAGUUAUGAUAAUUGCAGACGAGUUAGAAAGCAAAUGGUCAAAGCUAAAGCUAAUUUAAGAAGAAAAAGAGGGCAUUGAAUUUGAGGGGCUAGAAGAGGAAUUGAAUCCAUUGGAGGUCUUUCAGUUAGUGGGGAAGCUACUAACAACAAGAUGUUCAAUAGGGAAACAAUGAUCAAUACAUUCCAGAUGAUAUGAAAGUUGGCCUGAGAGAUGACAAUGAUGGUGUUGGAACCAGACUUAUUCAUCUUUAAGUUUGGGUCAAAGAGUGAUAAGAAGAGAGUCCUCGAAGAGUCGUCAUGGUCGUUUGAAAAGAACCUUUUAGUUUUUAGAAAGUAUAAUGGUGAUCUAAAGCCAACAGAUUGCUCUUUUGAUAGAGCAAAGUUUUGGAUUAUGGUGUAUGUGUUGGCAUUGAAAAUGCUGACCAAAAAUAUGGCAAAAAGGGUAGGAAUGAAAUUGGGAGUAUUGAAAGGUGUGGACCAUUACUGUUUGUUUUCUAUGGGUGGAAUCUUCUUAAGAAUAUGAGUGGAAAUAGAUAUCACAAAGCCUUUGAGAAGGUGUGUUUUUAUUGUAGGGAAGAACAAAGAAGAUGGCUUAUAGAGGCAAUUAAGGUAUGAGCUUCUCCCAAAUUUUUCCUAUGUAUCUAGGAAACUGUGCUAUACUGAAUUGGAUUGUGGAAUGGAAGCAGAGUUAGAAAGAGAAAGAGAGGACAAGCAGUAUGUGUAAUGGAUGCGAGCUUCACCAAUAAAAAGAGGAUGCUUGGCUUAUAUGACCAGAAACCAAUACCCAACACGUAAACAGUACAAUGAAGAGAAAGAAAGGCCUAGCAUGCCCACGAACAAAUAUGGAAGUGGGGAUGUGGGAGGAACAAUUGUCAGCCCCAAAUCUAAAGAUUUAGGAUGUAACAAUGCCGUGUACUCAUGAGACAAGUCCCACGAGCAUGCAAGGUAAUAGAUAUUAUACUAAUCAAACUCCAAAAUAUCAUAUUAAUUUAAAAUCAAACUCCAAAGGGUAUUCAAAAUUUAUAGUUUACAAACCAAAGUCUCUGAAAUUCACGUGUUACAUUUGAUCAAAAAAUACAACAAUAUUUUAAUUUUAUUAUAUCAAGGUACGUAUAUUACAAGCUAUAUGAUGACAAAAGAUAGAUGAAGUCUUGCAACAUAAUAUUUUGUUAAAACUAAGCCUUGAAGAUGCAAAUAUAGAAAUAUGAAAAGUAAAAAAUAAAUUAAAAGAAUGAAUAUGAUGACUCAGCAAGUAACCAACGUCUUUUCAAUUGGAUUAGGCAUGUCACAAAAUAUUUAGGCCAAAAUAUAACUAAAAGAUUAAAAAAUAUUUUGGCUAAUCUUGACUUCGCAAACAUAUUUUCACAAAACAUAUUCUCAAAACCAGAUUCUCAAAUCAUAAAAUAGAAUCAAAUAUCACAAAAUUAUAAAUUUUAUUAGUUUUCUGUAACGUACUAUGACCACACUUAACUCAUGUGAUAUAGGAUAGAAUAAAAAUUUUUCUUCUAGUGCAAUAGGACAAACGUAUGUUAGAAAUAACUAGGUCGUUACACUAACAAUCAUAAUUAACCCAUUAGUACAAUGAGACAGAACAAAAAUCACAAUAACCCUUUUAGUGUAAUGGGACAUAAUUAUGUCACUGAUGGUACGAUGACCAAAAAUCACUAUUUUCAAUAGGUGGCACAGUUUGAAACCAGUAUCAAUAUCACAAAAUACAUGUUGACAUAGCCAACAAUUAAUCCUCAUUGGCAAGCUCAGAACAUAGUCAUAUUAGGAGACAAAAAAUCAAAAUAUAUUUUCAGAUUACCUAACAUACACAAAUUAAAUAUUUAUAAAUUUUCUCAAAACAUAAUCCAUACAAAGUAAAAUCUAUAAUCAUUCCAUAAUGAUUAGUUUGUCCUUAGCUAAAUCCAUGUCUCCUUACUAACUUUCCAAAGCCAUCAAACCAAGCCUUCAAACCAAGCCUUCAAUGAUUGUUUUAAACCAUGAAGAGACUUUUUCAAUUUGCAUACCUUCAUGUCAUUGUUUUCCUUUCAAAAUCAAGAGACAAAUCCAUAUAAACUUCUUCAUCUAGCUCCCCAUUAAGAAAGGCAUUCUUGACAUCCGUUUGGUGUAAUGGCCAAUUAAGAUUAGUAGUUAGUGAAAGUAGUACCCUUGUAGUAUUCAAUUUAGCAAUUGGAGCAAAGGUUUCAGUGUAGUCUACUUUAAAAGUUUGAGUAAAUCCCUUUGCAACUAAGUGGGUCUUGUGUCUAUCUAUUCCACCAUCUGAACUAUACUUAAUAGUAAACAUCCAUUUACAUCCAAUUGGUGUUUUUUCUCUAGGUAACUCCAUAACAUCUCAAGUCUCAUUCCUUUUCAAUACUGUCAUCUCUUUAAGUAUAGUAGCUUACCAUUCUAAGAUUUUUAGAACUUCAUGAAUAUUUUGUAAAAUUUUAGUUACCUUAAUCUUUUUUUAUCAUAGCGUGAAAUGUAGUAGGCAAAUGACUGUAUGAUAAAUAAUUGGACAAAAGGUGUUGAGUGUAGGAUCUUACACCUUUUUUAAGUGCUAUACGUUUAUAUAGACCAUUAGGUGGAGUAUUCACUGGUAAUGGUGUGGUAGGAACAAUCUUUUCUGAUUCAAAAUUUACUUGUGAAUCGGUAUUCAGUGGUGAUAAUGUUAUAGGCUUAGCAUUUUCUAAUUCAGAAUUUACUUAAGGAUCAAAUUCUUGAUAAUAUGGCCAGGACACAAAAAUUUAUACUUCUUGAAGCUAUGGUUUACAUCAUGAAUAAACGCAGAUCUCUGUUGUUUAUUAAGGAUUAACCAUAGAUGAAUCUAUCCCUAUUUCUAACUUAGCAUAUGUUGGUGACACAAUAGGAAUAGUAGAUGUUAUAAGAAUUGGAAUGGAAUAUUCUUAAAGCCUAUCUUCACCUAGUAUCUCCCCAUGAAGAAUUAGUUUUGGGUAAAAGGGUUGAUUUUCAAAGAAUGUGACAUCUAAUGAGACAAAUAUUUGUUUCAUGGAUGAACAAUAGCACUUAUACCUUUUUUUAAUAGAAGAGUACCUAAUAAAAAUAUAUUUUAUAGCUCUAAGUUCUAGUUUUCCACAAGAUGGACUUUUGUUGUUAACAAAAUAUGUGCAACCAAAGACUUUUAGGGAUAAAGAGGUAAAAAUCAUAAUUCACAGAUAUGAUUAAGGUAACAUGUUCAAUGGUGUGUUGAAAUUGGGAACUCUAAUAGAAAGUUUAUUGAUAAAGUUUGAGGCUAUUCAAAUAACAUCUUUCAAAAAACACUUGGGAACUUAUUGGUAAACAUGAUAGAUGAACAACUUUAAUAGAUGACUAUUUUUACGUUUUAUAAUCCCAUUUUGUUGGAAGGUAUUAACGUAAAAACUUGGGUGAAAAUUUUCAUUUUCUUUUAAAUAAUCACCGAGAAUUGAAUUAAAGUAUUGUCUGUGUGAAAAUUUUAGAUUAAGCUUGAAAUUGUGUUUGAAUCAUUUUUUGAAAUUGUUGAAAAAUUGCUUAGCAUCUGACUUAUUUUUUAAUAAGUAAACUCAAUAAGCUCUGUAUGAUCAUCUGUAAAUGUCAUGAAUCACCUAGUUCUAAUUAUGUUAUUUUCCCAUAAAGGUCCCCAAAUAUCAUUAUGAACUAAAGAAAAAUAUUUAGAAAUCUAUACGGAUGACUAGGAUAAGGAACAUGAGUGUGUUUGGCAAGUUGAUAAGUUUCACAACAAAAAGAAUAGACAUCUUUAUUCUUAAAAAAAGAAGGAAAAAGAAAUUUUAGAUAUAGAAAACUAAGAUAUCCUAAUCUAUUAUGCCAUAACAUAAUUUCACUAAAAACAGAAAUAGAUUCACCACUUAGAGCCAAACCUUGUUUAUUCACUUGUUAAGGAUUUUCAAAGUCGUACAAGCCUUCAUGCUCCUUAAUACUAUCAAUUAUCCUCCUUGAAAGUAAAUUCUUAAACUCAUAAUAUAAAAUAUAGAACUUAGCCAUACAAUUCAAGUCAUUUGUCAAUUUACUAAUGGAUACUAAAUUAGGAACAUGCAAAACUGAAAAUAGUGUCAUAUUAAAAACUUUAAUGUUUCUUUCUCCAGUAAUAGAGGAUAGUGAUCUAUUAGCAAUAUGAAUCUUAAGGCUUUUAGAAUAUGGAUUAUAUGUUGAAAACAAUUCAUGGCGUCUAGUUAUAUGCUUAGAUAACCCAAAAUCUAUAAUCCAAGAUGUAGACACCCAAUUGGGUCCGGGCCCAGAUCAAUUGGGCCUGACCCAAAUGGGUAAGGCCCAUUUCAAUCCUGUAUAUUUUUUUUUCUUCUUUUGUAUUUUAUGUAUUUUAUUAUUAUUAUGUAUAUAUUUAUUUAUUUUUUUUAUUAGAUUAGAUUUAUAUGUAUAUAGUUAUAUAUUUAUUAUUAUUAUUAUUAUUUUUUUUUUUUUGUAAUAUAUACUUGGGUUUAUCUUAUUUUAUUAUUAUUAUUAUUAUUAUUAUUAUUUUUAAUUAUCUGUUCUGAUUUUUCCUGAUUAUCAGAUUUUUUUUAUAUCUUUUGAUUUAUCUGAUUAUUAUCUAGUAUUUUUUUUAUUUUUGAUUUUGGAGGGCUAAGAUUGAAGUUGAAGAAUCCUACCGGGAAUGGGAAUUCAAUCAAGAGAGUCCAAUUGGAUUCAAAGACUGAAUUCCCGUCCAAGGAGGAAUUGGGAUUGAUUAGAAACUCCUGAUCAAUCCCUAUAUAAAGCACCUCCUGGAACAGUUCAAGAACACAGAAAAAACAGAAGCAAAAGCUACUGAUUGAGAGAAUAGGGGUGUUUAGAGAGCUAAGGAAAAGUUUAGGAGUGUUCUGGCAGUGAGAAAAAUUUUUUAGAAAAAUUUGGCGAAAAAAUUUUCUGGAAAUUUCUGGGAAAUUUCCAGAUUCCGGCGAAAAUUCCGGCGACUUUUGAAUUUUCCGGCGACAAUUCCGACGAACUUUGAAGUUUCCGGCGACAGACCCAAUUUCCGGCGGAGAAUCCCAGAAACCGGCGACCAUCCGGCCAACUUUCGGCCAAUUUCCGGCGAAAUUCCCAGAUUCCGGCGAAUUUUCCAGAAUCCGGCACCGACGUUCUUCAAAUUCUAGAGAGAAGGCAGAGAAGAAGGGAAGAAGAGAGAGAGAGGGGAGGAACGGUCUGCUGAAAAACGGAGGAAGGUGCCUUUUAUACCCUCCCAAAACGACGUCGUUUUGGCUUUAAGUUAAUAAGAGGAUCCGCGCGUUUUGCCGAACCCGACCCGACCCGAAGCGUAGACCCGCUUUCUGACCCGCGCGUUUCAGCCCCUCCGAGCUGAGCCGAGCCGAGCCGAGCCGCACCAAGUCGAGCCGCGAUCCGAGCCGCUCCAGGUUUUUUUUUUUUUUUUGAAUUUUUUUGAAUUUUUUUUUAUUUGACUUUGAUUUUGAUCUUGAUUUUUUUUUCUUUAUUCUUUAAUUAAUCCGACGACGGAGCCUCUACAAGUAAAAACAGUAGUUUUUCUUACAUACUCCUAAGGUGAGGGAAUUUUCUCAAUUUUCUGCUAAAAGUAUUAGAGUCAAUUGAGAAUAAUUUCCGAUAAUUAAUUACUUGGCUGAUUUUGAUUUUUUUUUCUUUAAUUAAUCCGAUUCGACGGAGCCUCGCAAGUGAAACAGUAGUUUUUUCUUGCAUACUCCUGAGGUGAGGGAAUUUUCUCAAUUUUCUGCUAAAGUAUUAGAGUCAAUUGAGAAAUAAUUUUCGAUAAUUAAUUAAUUGGUUGAUCUUGAUUUUUCUUUAAUUAAUCCGACGACGGAGCCUCUGCAAGUGAAACAGUAGUUUUUCUGCAUACUCUGAGGUGAGGGAAUUUUCUCAAUUUUCUGCUAAAAGUAUUAGAGUCAAUUGAGAAUAAUUUUAGAUAAUUAAUUAAUUGGUUGAUCUUGAUUUUUCUUUAAAUAAUCCGACGACGGAGCCUCUGCAAGUGAAACAGUAGUUUUUCUUGUAUACUCUUGAGGUGAGGGAAUUUUCUCAAUUUUCUGCUAAAAGUAUUAGAGUCAAUUGAGAAUAAUUUUCAACAACUAACUACUUGGUAAAAUUUUAAGGCUUUUGGAUAACACAAAUUCAAGCUGGUACCAUCUUUUGAUGGGCGUUGUGAGGGUGCUAUAACCUUCCUCACACGUAACCGAACUCCCGAACUCUGUUCUGGUUAAGCAGACCCGAACCUAUUCUUUUAGGGACCCUUAAGCUUAGGUGUUCCCUAAAAGGGCAGAUUCCUUAGGUGGCCAAUCACACCUGGAUAAAAAAGAUUGGUGGCGACUCCCUAAAGUCAAUGUCUGACGAUAGAUCCCCGGAUCUAGACGUUAUGACAGCUUGGCGACUCCGCUGGGGACUUGAGAGUCAGGCCAGCAAAUAAUUUGUGUUAUCUAAAAGCCUAAUAAAAUUGAACCAUUUUUGUAUAUAUAUGUUAUUGUUCAUUCAUGUUUAUUUACUUUGUUAAUUAUGUCAUUCAUGUGCAUGUGCAUAACAUGAGCUCUAUACCCGAGCUCCGUCCCUCUAGGAGGGAGUAAAGUACCUAUUGCUUUCGUGAGGUCUAAUGCCUCCGUAGUGGCUAGCGAAAUACUCCCACUCAAAUUGAACCUUUUCCGCUUGUAGCCUGUAAUGGGUGAGGAUUAGGGUGCCUUACUAGUCUGUGAUGGACAAGGAUGUAAGGAACAAUUUGAGGACCUUUAGACUCUGACUUUAAAACUACAUGUAGUGAACCUUAAGAGUGCCUAACCCUAAGAUAGAGCCCUUUCUACCCAAUGAUAGAUAUGCCUUGAAAUUAGGACACAAAAAGGGUGUUUGUCUAAUCAUUUUGAUUGUUUAACUUUGUGUGUUAUUUUUAUUAUAUGUAACAUUAUGCAUCAGCAUCACUUUCGUUUCAUCCACGAAACUAACCAUGUUGUUUGUCUGAUUGUAUGCAUCUGUAUUCUUUUCAUGAUCAUGUUUCAACACAAUCAUUUGCAUUCAUUUCAUACUAGAUUUCAUUUAGAAAAAUGUACAUUUCAUUUGUAUAUCAAAGCAUCAUACAUAAGGCACAGCAUAACAUUUCUAAUCAUAAGUAUGGUACUCAAGGUCCCAGGAUAGCUCCAUCUAGCGAAAACCCUGCUCAUCCAUACAACACAAGGUCCAGAGCAAGGCAAAUGGAGGAAGAAAGUUCUCAUAGAUUUGAAAAGCUAGAAAAAGCUCAGGAGAAGAUUGAAAAUGAACUUAGCAAAAUUUUGGAGGCCCUCAAUAACAUGAAUAAGGGGAAAGGGGUUGAAGGAAAUACAAGCCAACAAGUUCCCCAUUUACAAGAAGUGGCUGACCCUUUGUACCCUCCAGGUUUUGGCCCACCUCAAGCCCAGUCUGCCCAAGAGGUCCCGCCACAACAUUUCGCCUAUCCUGGAAUGCCAUCAGCUUUCAACCCAGGGCAGUAUAACAGCUAUAUAAAUCCUGUCUUCACUGAAAAGGUAGCAGAACCAAUUCCUGAUCUAGAAGAGAAGGAGAAGGAGAAGGAAAAGAUGAGAGUAGAGGCUGAGGAAAGUUCCAAGAUUAGCAUGCUAGAGCAGAGGCUAAGGGCUGUGGAAGGAUUUAGCUGUUAUGGGUCAGUUGAUGCUGCUGGGCUCUGCUUAGUUCCUGAUGUGGUUAUCCCCUAUAAAUUCAAAGUACCAAAAUUUAAAAAAUAUGACGGUACAAAGUGCCCUAAAACCCACAUCACCAUGUAUUGCAGGAAGAUGGCGGCUCAUGCACAUGAUGAAAAACUCUUGAUGCAUGUCUUCCAGGAUAGUCUUACUGGCUCUGCGGCCAGAUGGUAUGUUCAGUUGGAUAGAACCCACAUUCGCUCCUGGAGCGAUAUGGCUCAUGACUUUAUCAGCCAAUAUCGACACAUCAUCGAUUUGGCCCCUGAUCGUUUAUCUUUGCAAAACUUGGAGAAAAAGUCAAAUGAGUCUUUUAAAGAAUACGCCCAGAGAUGGAGGGAUAUAGCUUCACAGGUUACAACCUGCUCUGACAGAAAAAAGAGACCACAGUGCUUGUUAGCACUUUGAAACCUCCUUAUUAUUGAAAAGAUGAUAGGGAUGCAACAAAAAUUUUGCUGACAUGGUGAUCUCUGGAGAAAUUAUUGAAAGUGCCAUUAAAAAAUGGCAAGUUGAGAGGAGGAAAGAAACCAAGAAGGCAUCAGAAAAGAAAGAAACUGAAGCUCAAGCUGUGAGCUUUGAUAGACAACAAUUCAGGGGUUAUCAAACCCUAUCCAUCUCAAGGUUACUCUCCAUACUAUCCCGCUGUGAAUAAUGCCUCAUUCCCACCCAUACCAGCUAGCUCCCCAACCAUCUUAUUCAUCCACUUAUCGCCUAACAUUCAAGCUCCUGUAAGAACCCAAAUCCGCCACUAACCCAGCCAGUGGCUCGCGAGAACAACGGACUACUCGAGAAAAACCUGUAUUUGAUCCAAUCCCUAUGACUUAUACAGAGUUAUAUCGAGAGCUUUAUAAUAGCCAUUUGAUUGCCCCCAGCCAUGUGGAACCACUUAAACCACCCUAUCCAAAGUGGUAUGAUCCUACAGCCCGUUGUGACUAUCAUUAUGGAAUUACUGGCCAUUCUACUGAAAAUUGCACUGCUUUAAAGUAUAAGGUGCAACGGUUGAUCAAUGAUGGAAUGGUAAGUUUUGAUCAAGGAAAAGCAACAGCACCUAAUGUUAGUGUACUGAGCGAAAGUCAAGAACAGAAAGGAUCCGGAGAUUCACAAUGAAUUGAGGGGCAAGAUGUCAAUGGAGAUAAGGCUGAUUGAAGGUUUCUUCUGUCAUUUUGGGAUUUCUUUUCAAAAAUGUUAGAUUUUUUUUUUUUGCAAUAUGACUUCACUUGUUAUCAUUUUAAUAAAGGCAAGUCAAUGCAUUUCAUUACAUUUUUCUCUUUCACUUUACCAUUAUUCCAUGCCUUGUUACCUUCCAUAACUUCACACUCCCAUUCUUAAAUUUCAGAUGAUGAAUAUUUAGACAAUGAUAACAAUAAUUCUGGAAUUUAAUUUUGAGAACUCAUUCACAGAGGAGAUGAUUUGAACGAAAAUAAAGAGGGUAAGCCAUCACCAGAGAUGAAAGAGAUAUAUCUUGAAGGUGUGCAAUAUUUUAUACAAGUUCAUGAGCUCUGUUCAAUAGAUGAUGUUCAAGAAAGGUAUUCACAAUUGAGAUGAAAAAUGGCCAUCUUUCUUUUACCAUUUGAAAAACCAUUUAUUGUUACCCCCUUGAGCUUAUCAUUUUUUUUUAGAACCCCAACCAAGGAUCACCCUCUACACUGGAGGGUAAUUUUUGAAAAAAAAAAAAAAAAAACCACAAAAGGUCUCAAAGAUGAAAAGAAAAAGAAAAGCAAAAGAAAAAAUAAAUGCCACACAUGACUUGGGGCAAAGUAAUGAGAAUCCUUUGUGUGAGGAAAGAAAAAAUAGUGAAACGAUGUGGGGCAAAAUGCCAAGCUGCAUCAAAUGAUCCUUCGGUCUUGAACCUUUUUAAUACAUGUUUUGAGCCUAUUAUAUCCAUUUUUUUUAUGACCCUUCACCUUAGCCUACAUUACAACCUUGGAAAGUCCAUUUGGAUCAAGUGUGAAUACCCAACUUGAAUGAUCAUAUGUUGAGCGAAGGCAUGCUCAUGAUGAAGCAAUGGAAUCAUGCUACAUUACCUUAAAAGUUUGAUGUAUGAAGGAUGUCAAUAAUAGGUGAAGAAUGAAAAAAAAGAUGAUGAAAAAAAAAAAAAAAAGAAAGAAAGAAGAAAAAAUGAGAAAAUGAAAAAAUGAAAAAAGAGAUCCGAAUUGAAAACCUGAAAGGGUGAUUUUGGUACCCAAAAAAAAAAAAAAAAAAAAAAAGAUUCAGGUCAAAUGGCUCACAUGAAUGAAAGAUCAAAGACAUCUGAAGAUCCCUUAAAGACUGGGGCAGAGUUCGCCAAGCCCAAGAUGACUUCAACAGUAAAUGAAUGAGCUUUUGAAAAAGAAUCCUAGAUUAAUGUUGAAAAUUGUCUAAAUAUUCAUCAUUUGGACAUACCAUUUACCUCAAUGACAUCCAAUUUAUUUCCUUUCCCAUUUAUUUUCUACCAAAAUAAAUCUCCAUUGAUUAUCUUUACCAUAAUUCACUUUCUGUCCUCUUAUUGUUACACCCUUAGAAUGAAUUGAGAAAAUGCUUGAUUGCAUUGUAUUUGUCAAAAUUUGAAAUGAUAAUGAAUGAAUGAACAUGUACUUAAAAGAAUCUUACAUUCAUUUGAAAAGAAAUCUAAGAUGAUGAAAAAAUGGUAGAAACCUAAAAGAGAUGAUGGGGCAAAUCUGGAAAAGUGAUGAAUUGAUCGAUAUGACUUGCAAGUUAUGAUUGAAUGAUGAAGACAAUCAGUAGACAAAGUCUGUUUUGGAAUUGUUGAUGCUCAGACAAGGACCCAGCGAUGGUGGAUGAAAUUUGUUUUAAAAUUUGCUAGUGCUGAGAAAUUCAUUGAAUGAUGGUCAAGGGAUGAUCGAUUGAUGAAGCUUAUUCCAGAGUAUUGAAAAACAGAACAAGGAAAGAAUGUGAACGGAAAGGACAAUUGAGAGCUACACUGGUUCGAUCUUAGAAGAGCAGUGCAAUUGGAUCCUUGAGGAAUUAAAGGGCUUGACACCCAAGAAAAAAAAAGAGCUUGAGAAACUUGAGUACCAUACAUUGAACAGGAAUUAAUUGGCCAACAUUUGCAUAGCAUGCAUUGAAAUUCAUAUGCAUUUGCAUAGCAUACACUACUUUCAGGAAAGUAUAGUGUACAAAUUCAAGAAGCAGGGGUGUUCCAACAUCCCACAUGGAAAAGACAGAUAUGAAAAGACUUUGCAAGUUUGAGAAGAAACUUGUCAGGUAAGUUCCUAAUCCUUGAAAUAGGAUGUCUCUUGGUAUCAGGGUUGAUUUAUAAGACCUUUGGGCAUGAUCUCCUGAAAUUCUCUUCAAACACAACUUUCAACUCCUUCGGACAUGAUUGUCUAGGAGUAUUUACUUUUCAAAGUUCGUUACCUCUGUUUAGAGGAGCAAUUUACUUUUUCAAAGUCGUGGUGCCUCUGUUUAGAGGAGCAAUUUACUUUUCAAAGUUCGUUGCCUCUGUUUAGAGGAGUAAUUUACUUUUCAAAGUUCGUUGCCUCUGUUUAGAGGAGCAAUUUACUUUUCCAAAGUCGUGGUACCUCUGUUGAGAGGAGCAAUUUACUUUUUCAAAGUCGCGUUGCCUCUGUUUAGAGGAGCAAUUUACUUUUCCAAAGUCGUGGUACCUCUGUUGAGAGGAGCAAUUUAUUUUUCAAAGUUUCGUUGCCUCUGUUUAGAGGAGCAAUUUAUUUUUCCAAAGUCGUGGUACCUCUGUUGAAAGGAGCAAUUUACUUUUUCAAAGUCGUGGUACCUCUGUUGAGAGGAGCAAUUUAUUUUUCCAAAGUCGUGGUACCUCUGUUGAGAGGAGCAAUUUACUUUUUCAAAGUCGUGGUACCUCUGUUGAGAGGAGCAAUUUACUUUCCAAAGUCGUGGUGCCUCUGUUUAGAGGAGCAAUUUAUUUUUUCAAAGUCGUGGUACCUCUGUUGAGAGGAGCAAUUUACUUUUUCAAAGUCGCGUUGCCUCUGUUUAGAGGAGCAAUUUACUUUUCCAAAGUCGUGGUACCCUCUGUUGAGAGGAGCAAUUUAUUUUCAAAGUUCGUUGCCUCUGUUUAGAGGAGCCAAUUUAUUUUUUCAAAGUCGUGUACCUCUGUUGAGAGGAGCAAUUUACUUUUCCAAAGUCGUGGUACCUCUGUUGAGAGGAGCAAUUUACUUUCCAAAGUCGUGGUGCCUCUGUUUAGAGGAGCAAUUUAUUUUUUCCAAAGUCGUGGUACCUCUGUUGAGAGGAGCAAUUUAUUUUUCAAAGUUCCGUUGCCUCUGUUUAGAGGAGCAAUUUAUUUUUUUAAAGUCGUGGUGCCUCUGUUUAGAGGAGCAAUUUACUUUUCAAAGUUCGUUGCCUCUGUUUACAGGAGCAAUUUACUUUUCAAAGUCGUGGUGCCUCUGUUGAGAGGAGCAAUUUAUUUUUCCAAAGUCCUGGUGCCUCUGUUGAGAGGAGCAAUUUAUUUUUCCAAAGUCGUGGUGCCUCUGUUGAGAGGAGCAAUUUACUUUCCAAAGUCCGUUGCCUCUGUUUAGAGGAGCAUUUACUUUCAAAAGUCGUUGAGUCUCUGUUUUAGAGGAGCUUCGGCCAAAAAAAAAAACAAAAAAAAAAAACAAAAACAAAAAAACAAAAAAAUCAAAAAAUCAAAAAAAUAAAACAAAAAUAAAAAAAAAUCAAAAAUAAAAAUGUUGAGUUGAGUCUUGAUUGGGUGUCUACGUCUUUGCGCAAUUUCUGUUUCACAGAAAAUGUGCAAAGAGGGGCAGCUGUAGACACCCAAUUGGGUCCGGGCCCAGAUCAAUUGGGCCUGACCCAAAUGGGUAAGGCCCAUUUCAAUCCUGUAUAUUUUUUUUUUCUUCUUUUGUAUUUUAUGUAUUUUAUUAUUAUUAUGUAUAUAUUUAUUUAUUUUUUUUAUUAGAUUAGAUUUAUAUGUAUAUAGUUAUAUAUUUAUUAUUAUUAUUAUUAUUUUUUUUUUUUUUUGUAAUAUAUACUUGGGUUUAUCUUAUUUUAUUAUUAUUAUUAUUAUUAUUAUUUUUAAUUAUCUGUUCUGAUUUUUCCUGAUUAUCAGAUUUUUUUUAUAUAUUUUGAUUUAUCUGAUUAUUAUCUAGUAUUUUUUUUAUUUUUGAUUUUGGAGGGCUAAGAUUGAAGUUGAAGAAUCCUACCGGGAAUGGGAAUUCAAUCAAGAGAGUCCAAUUGGAUUCAAAGACUGAAUUCCCGUCCAAGGAGGAAUUGGGAUUGAUCAGAAACUCCUGAUCAAUCCCUAUAUAAAGCACCUCCUGGAACAGUUCAAGAACACAGAAAAAACAGAAGCAAAAGCUACUGAUUGAGAGAAUAGGGGUGUUUAGAGAGCUAAGGAAAAGUUUAGGAGUGUUCUGGCAGUGAGAAAAAUUUUUUAGAAAAAUUUGGCGAAAAAAUUUUCUGGAAAUUUCUGGGAAAUUUCCCAGAUUCCGGCGAAAAUUCCGGCGACUUUUGAAUUUUCCCGGCGACAAUUCCGACGAACUUUGAAGUUUCCGACGACAGACCCAAUUUCCGGCGGAGAAUCCCAGAAACCGGCGACCAUCCGGCCAACUUUCGGCCAAUUUCCGGCGAAAUUCCCAGAUUCCGGCGAAUUUUCCAGAAUCCGGCACCGACGUUCUUCAAAUUCUAGAGAGAAGGCAGAGAAGAAGGAAGAAGAGAGAGAGAGGGGAGGAACGGUCUGCUGAAAAACGGAGGAAGGUGCCUUUUAUACCCUCCCAAAACGACGUCGUUUUGGCUUUAAGUUAAUAAGAGGAUCCGCGCGUUUUGCCGAACCCGACCCGACCCGAAGCGUAGACCCGCUUUCUGACCCGCGCGUUUCAGCCCCUCCGAGCUGAGCCGAGCCGAGCCGAGCCGCACCAAGCCGAGCCGCGAUCCGAGCCGCUCCAGGUUUUUUUUUUUUUUGAAUUUUUUUUUUAUUUUUUAUUUGACUUUGAUUUUGAUCUUGAUUUUUUUUCUUUAUUCUUUAAUUAAUCCGACGACGGAGCCUCUACAAGUAAAAACAGUAGUUUUUCUUACAUACUCCUAAGGUGAGGGAAUUUUCCUCAUUUUCUGCUAAAAGUAUUAGAGUCAAUUGAGAAUAAUUUCUGAUAAUUAAUUACUUGGCUGAUUUUGAUUUUUUUUUCUUUAAUUAAUCCGACGACGGAGCCUCUGCAAGUGAAACAGUAGUUUUCUUGCAUACUCCUGAGGUGAGGGAAUUUUCUCAAUUUUCUGCUAAAAGUAUUAGAGUCAAUUGAGAAUAAUUUUCGAUAAUUAAUUAAUUGGUUGAUCUUGAUUUUUCUUUAAUUAAUCCGACGACGGAGCCUCUGCAAGUGAAACAGUAGUUUUUCUUGCAUACUCCUGAGGUGAGGGAAUUUUCUCAAUUUUCUGCUAAAAGUAUUAGAGUCAAUUGAGAAUAAUUUUAGAUAAUUAAUUAAUUGGUUGAUCUUGAUUUUUCUUUAAAUAAUCCGACGACGGAGCCUCUGCAAGUGAAACAGUAGUUUUUCUUGUAUACUCUUGAGGUGAGGGAAUUUUCUCAAUUUUCUGCUAAAAGUAUUAGAGUCAAUUGAGAAUAAUUUUCAACAACUAACUACUUGGUAAAAUUUUAAGGCUUUUGGAUAACACAAAUUCAAGCUGGUACCAUCUUUUGAUGGGCGUUGUGAGGGUGCUAUAACCUUCCUCACACGUAACCGAACUCCCGAACUCUGUUCUGGUUAAGCAGACCCGAACCUAUUCUUUUAGGGACCCUUAAGCUUAGGUGUUCCCUAAAAGGGCAGAUUCCUUAGGUGGCCAAUCACACCUGGAUAAAAAAGAUUGGUGGCGACUCCCUAAAGUCAAUGUCUGACGAUAGAUCCCCGGAUCUAGACGUUAUGACACAAGAUUUUUAGAAUAUGAUUUUGGACUCAAAGCAGAGAGAUAAUUAUCUUUUUGUGUAAUUGUGCAUUUUGGAGUGAAUGCAAUAAUUGGUUCAGAAGUCACUUUUGAUCUACUAUUUUGAGGGGUAUCAGUUAUGGUUGUUUUGGCCAUUAGAAAAGAAUAAAUAAAAGUAAACCCAUGAAAACAAAGAAAAAAAUAAUGUUCUCUGAGUGUUAUUUUAUUAAAAGGAAUAUGAAAAUAUAUAAAAGAAUUGAUAUGUAUAAAGAAACCCAUAGAAUCAGGGCACAAUCAUCAAUACAUAAAAACAAAUAAAAGACAAGAAAUAUAAAUCCUAACAAAUCAGGAAAUUAAUCUUGAUUUAAUACAUAAUCUAUCAACAAAAAUUUUAUUAAAAGUAAUUCAUUUAAGAUCACUUGAUAAAAUAAACACAAUUCCUUUACUAUUUAAGUUUAAAAUUAUAACUAGAAUCUAAACACUAUUAAUUAAGUCCUUAAAUAUAUAAAAAAAUUUUAUAUUUUUUUUAGAAAAUAAAUGUCAAAGCACUCAAGAUUCCAAACUAUUUGGGUAUGUUUCAUUCCUCUCUUUUUUAUUAAAAAUAAUUUCUAACUUUAUUUUUAAUAGGAUUUAAAGUUUUAUUUUUUUUAUCAAAAUUUGUAAAUAUUAGGGAAAUAAAAUUUAAUAAAAUAAAAUAAAAAAGAAUUAGAAUUAGAAUUACGUAUCUAGAAUUAUUAUUCCUUGCUAUCAUAACAAAAUAUAUUUAUUAAAAGAAACAAAAUUUUAUAUUUAUUACAAAAGAAAAUAAUGUAUCAUUUUUGUCUCUUUUCCAAGUUUAAUUUUUAAAAUCAAAGAAAAUGAUACUUUAUUUCUUUCUAAUAACUUUUAUAAAUUUAUUUUUUAACGCAAUUAAUAUAUUUAAAUUAUUCUAAUGUUUUGUUUCUUUCUUUUUUGUUAAAAAUAAUUUUUAGAUUUAUUUUUAAUUGGAUUUAAUUUUAUAUACUAAAAUUUAUAAAUAUUGGAAAAAUAAAUUUUAAUAAACUAAAAAAAUAAAUUAAAAUAUGAUAAUUGACUCAAAAUUAUUCUUUUUAUUACAUACUAAAAUGUAUUUACUAAGAAAAUAAAAAUUUUAUAAUCAUUAUGAAAGAAACUAAAGUAUCAUUCUACCUUUAAUUUUAAGUUGAAUUUUUAAAAUUAAGGAAACCAUUGUGUUCUCAUUUCCUUUUUAAAAAAUUUAUAAAUUUUAUUUCCUUUUAAAUAAAUAGAUUUUGGUAAGAUUAUAAAGAGUAAGAAUUCUGAAUUCAUUAUCUUAAUUUUUAAUUUCCUCUUAUUUUUAUGCAAAGGGACCAUUUCGACAUCUUUUUAAAAAGAUUUAGGACUAUCAUGAAGUAAUUUGAAAAUUAAAAAUCAAAAUGAAACCCAAAUGAAAAGUUUGAGGCUACAAAUGUGCUUUAUCCUUAGUUUGAGUGUGGGACAUUUUCUCUUCUGAAUGUUCUCUAAGAAAAUCCUUUAAAUCAUUUAACUGAAGUAAGGUCCUUAAUCGAAAAUGAGCCAUGAAUUUCAUCUCCAGAGGCACUAUUGGUCAUUUUAAUAUUAUCUGAAAUUGAAGAGAACACCAUAUAUCCUGUAUCAUGGUCAUUUUUCAAAAGGUUAUCUUAAUUGUCACGGAUGGAUUUUGCUGCAAUGGUUAGAUCUUCUUGUUUUACCCCUGGAAUUUGCUGCUUAAAAUUUUCUGAAUUAUUUGGAUAAACUGAAUUGGCCUGUUUUGCAUGCUAUGUAGACACGGGUCUUAUGAUAGUAGAGGACAUCUGUCUGAUCCAAAUGAGGCAGGAUUGUUUAUGAAUCGAAAAUCCCAAGAUGCUGAAGUUGGUGCUCUUGUACGUAUGCUGAAGAAAGCCCCUCCUCUUCGUCAAGAUAUCGCCAGUUUGUGGAGCAACAGCAUUCAUGAGCAAAGCCAAAUCUCUGGGGUUGUGAAUUUUGAACAUGCUGCUCCUUCAAGUAUUGCAUCUUCUAGAUUUGUUGCAUCAAAGACAACUGCUGAUGCAUUAGAGGAGCUUCGGGGUUAUAAAGAGAUGAAAAACUUAGUGAAGGUGGCAAGUCUUACACAUCUGCCAAUAAUGCCUCAGGAGCUGAACAUUCCAGCUAAGGCACAUGAGAAUUUUGAACUUCUGCAAUAUUGGUAUAUUUGAACAUUAUGUGCAGCGCUAUGGUUUGAGAGAUUACUACAUGCUGUACGACUGAAGCCAUUUUUGCCCUUAUGUAUCCAUAUACGUAUAUACGAUACAUGUUUUUUUGAUAAGAUUUAUGCGACAACAGUAGGGUUAUCUGUUGGCCUGGAAAACUUUGUAAAAAGCACCCUUUUUUUUUUUAUCUUUUUCUCUUAUCCAACAUAAAUGUAUAUAAUUUCUAUAUGUUGGCUUAGGGGUAAAUGCAGAUUUACAGGCGACAUAUGUUCAUGGUAGUACAACAUAUCUCUAUCUUUCGCUCACCAGCUCUCCGUUGCUGUCGUCUCUAUUAUUUUCCUCUUUUCCUUUGGUUUUUCUCCUCCAUGUAGAAUUUCAGCGGUGGGUCUAGACUGGAAAUGCAAUUGCCUGAUGAUCAGAAUUGAAAAGAAACCGAUGUCAUAGCCUGACAGCCGAAUUGAAAAGAAAUCUCAGUGGGAUGUUUUUAUUUAUUUUCGUUAAAAGGUAAAAUAUCAUGUAAAGUUUGAAUCUGCAAGUGAGCAUAAAUAUUCGGAUAAUCUUCAACAGACAAAAAAAAUCUUUCCACAUUUUGUUUUUUCUUUGUUACCUUCGUGGUUUAACGCUGUUUGGUGAUUUCGCUUGGGGUUAAUUUGGAAAGGUUGGUUUAUUGCCAUUGCCAACUUGGUUUCUCUAUUUAAACAAUUAUUUGAAGAACUAACAAUAAGUUCACAUACGUCUUUGGUAAAGGCAUAAAGCACACAACAAGCAUUAAAGAAAUUCAUGAUACAUACAUAAAAAGGAUAAGGAAAAUAGACUUAGGCAGCUCUUACAAUGGAAAAUGUUUAUUAAAUGAGUUUUCAUACAUUCCCCGUCCAAGUUACCAAGUAGCUAAAAAAAAUUCAUAAAAUUUUUGAAAAACCAGCAUAAACAAAUGUUUUAAGAAGUAAAAACAAAAAAUUCUGGAAAUUUUCUUUACAUUUAAGGUUUUUGAAACCCAACACCAAAAUUGUACCAUCAUUAACUUUUGCAAAGAUUUUGUUUAAUCUUUAGAAGGAAAGAUGCAACAAAUGAUACUUAAAUAUAAAUAUAUCGUAGACUAUUGUCAUACUUAAAUACAAAAAUAUCGUAGACUAUUAUCAUACUUAAAUAUAAAUAUAUCGUAGACUAUUGUCAUACUUAAAUACAAAUACACAAUCAGCAAUGCAUUUAAUAGUGGAUCUUGAUAUUUUAUUUUGAACAGACCAAUUAAAAUUAUAUAUUUUUUCAUUUGUUAUGUUACUCAAACUUGAAAAUGAAUGUUAGAUAUGCUGUGUCUAAUGUAAUAAUGCAUUUUUUUCAAAGUUUUAUAUAUAUAUAUAUAUAUAUAUAUAUCUGAACUAUCUAACCACCUUAUCUACAUUUAUGGUAUAUAUGUCAAACAUAAUUACUUUAAGAAAAAUUAAGAAUCCAACAAUUAACAUAGUUCAUUUUAGAUUUUAUUAAAGUAAAGAAAAAAAAGAAAGAUCAUAGAGAAGUACAAUUAGGUAAAAAGAAAAACAAUAUAUUUACACUUUUGAUACUAGAAUGAAAGCUUUUUUUUUAUUAAUUUACACAAAUGUGACUUAAUAUCUAUUAUUUUGAAGAAUUUGUGAAUAAUAAAUAUGGAUAUAAUAAAUAGACAAAUAAUGAUAUGAUUUAAUUCUUAUUAAAUUGUAAUAUAAAUUUAAAAUAAAAUAAAAAAUAAAAUAACAAAUAACAAAUUUAAUGUGAGAGUCAAUUAAAUUAAAAUUUAAUUUGUAUAUAUAAAAUAAUUAUAAUAUAUAAUAUAUAUUAAAAGGUUGGAAAAUACUAAGAGCAAUUGCUUAUGCAAUUGGUCUCAAAUAGUUGCUCAGAUAAAAAAACCACGCCAAAAUUUAAGUCUCAAAUGGCCAAAUCAAUUAGUCGAUCAGUAUGCAUUUGGCCUCCACACGCUUCCACAACGGUCCGUCAUUGAAUGCAUUUGCUAUAUUGUGCAACCAUGUUGUUUCAACAAGAGACUUAUCCAGAAAGAAAGAAAAAAAGAAAAAGAAACAGAACUGAUGACAGACGUCAAAAUUUACAUUUUCUUUUUAUUUCAAAUUUUUAUUUAAAUUUAAGUUUACAUGCAUUGAGAACUAGCCAUUGACGCUUGUCGUGUUAUAGAAGAACAAAUAGUUCAAGAUUUUUAAUUUUCCUCUUGCCUUAAAUUGUGUACUGUUGUAUUUCAAUUUUUUUUUUCUACUUAAAGAAAAUAUAAAAUAUUUUUUCUAUGUUUGCUCUGCGUGCAGUAGCUGAUUUUUUUUUUCUUUUGUUUUCUCUCUUUUCAUGGUUUUGUUAUGUAUAAAAUGUAAAAACUAGUAUCGUACAUGAGGAUGCAAACAAAACUUAAUGAUAAUAAUUUGUAACUAACAUCGUUUUGGUUGGUUCUUGUGCAAACAAGUCAUCCUUCCGAGUCUUAAUUUCUAUUCAGCGUGCUCUUUACUUUGAUUUGAAUGAUCAUCGCUGGAACAGUUACUCUCCAACACUUAUUGUCAUAUUGUACUAAUUGAAAGCAACUUUUCUUGCCGAUAAGGGCUGAAGUCAUUGUUUUACCCAAUGGACACUCUGAUGUCAUGUCUGAAGGUUUGAGUUUUGGAUUUUUCUAGUACACCCAAACCAAUCCCACAACGUUGAAGUGGAGCCCACGCUGUCAGCCCUUAGCAUGUGUUUUUUUUUUUGAGUGGAUACGUUUAAACGUUGAAGCUUUUUCUUGCUUCACUGUACUGGUAUUGACUUUAAGCAAAACUCACUGGUUAGCACAUUUUCUGCACAUUCAUUUAUUGAAAGCGACUUUACUUACCUCCCAUGGCUCGUCCCUUCAAGCUGUAAGGCAAAGAAGGAUUGUAGGGCAUCUAGAUAUUGCUUUUUAAUUUGUGGACUCGACAGAAAACUUCAGGCAAAAUCAAGUCGAGCUAAGCUACGUACCAAAACCAGCCCCACAACGUGUACGCGAAGGGACAUUAAAUUUGAUCCUUUGAACUUUAAUGUUCGCCGAUGGGAAGGCAGGUGGGCACGUCACAGCUAUUUCUAAGAAAAAUGUGGUCAUGGGUCUUUGGACUUGUUGGGUAUUAGUUGAACGUAUCCUUCGGUUUUGAUAGUUGCGUUUAGCAUUGCAUAAACGUAGUCCUUGGUAAACGACGGGAAGGGACUAGGUAGUCAUAAGGAUUUUCCUUUAACGAAGCACCUGCAAUUUGAUGGUACUCUCUUAUAUUAAUUGAAAGACUAAUCGGAUGGGCUUUGAUUUUGUGCAUGUGUCACGAAUUUAAGUGAAAGUCUUGAAUUUUAAAUCAUAUAUAAUAAGAGAAUUAUUAGAAUAUAAAAAAGUUUAUAUCAUUUUUAUUUUAUGAGGUGUUUUUUGUAAGAUAAAAUCAUGAGAUUAAAUGGAUCAAAACGAAUAAUAUUUCACAAGGGUGUGAACCAUGAUGAUAAACUGAUCUGAGAUAUCAAAAUGAUGAAUAUUCGAAUCUCGAAACUAUACGAAUUCAAAAUUUAAAUAUCGAUCCGUGACAUAUACACUUAAGUUGACAUAUAAAGACUGACUUUGAAGCAACUUAAGUAAUAUUAGAUUUAAUUUGUAGCGUUUCAAUGUGAGAUAUUUUAUAAAUCGGUUGUGCUAUUUAUAUAAGUAAAAUUUUGAAUUUAUAUUUAUAAAGUAUUUUUUUUAUGAAAUAAAUUAUAAAAUUUUUGACUCAAUAAUAUUUAUUAAUUUAAGUGCGAUGAAUCUGUACAAUUGAUAUUAACCGACGGAAAAAAUGUAAUAUUGUAAAAAAAAAUGAUACUUUUGUUUUCUUCUAAUAACUUUUAAAAAUUUUAUUUUUUACCAAUUAAUAUAUUUAAAUUAUUCUAGUAUUUUUUUUCAUUUUGUUAAAAAUAAUUUUUAGCUUUUAUUUUUAAUAGGAUUUAAUUUUAUAUUUAGUAAAAUUUAUAAAUAUUGGAAAAUAAAUUUUAAUAAAAUAGAAAAAGAAAAUAAAAUCAGAUAAUUGACUCAAAAUUAUUCUUUUUCUUAUCAUCCUUAAAUGUAUUUACUAAAAUUUUUUUUUUAUAAUUAUGACGAAAGAAACUAAAGUACCACUUUACCUUUAAUUCUAAAUUGAAUUUUUAAAAUUAAAGAAAAAAAUUAUGUUUUCGUUUCCUUUUAAAAAAUUUUUAAAUUUUAUUUUCUUUUUAAUAAAUAUGUUUUGGUAUGAUUGUGAAGCUUAAUAAUUUUGAAUUCAUUAUCUUGAUUUGUAAUUUUCUCAUAUUUUUAUGCAAAGGGACCAUAUCGAACAUCUUUUUAAAAAAAUUUAGGACUAUCAUGAAACAAUUUGAAAAUUAAAAAUAAAAAAGAAACCCAAAUGAAAAGUUUGAGUCUGCAAAUGUGCUUUUAUCCUUAGUUUGAGUGUGGGACAUUUUCUCUUCUGAAUGUUCUCUAAGAAAAUCCUAUAAAUCAUUUAACUGAAGUACGGUCCUUGAUCGAAAAUGAGUCAUGAAUUUCAUCUCCAGAGCCAUUAUCAGUCAUUUUAAUAUUAUCUGAAAUUGGAGAGAACACCAUAUAUCAUGUAUCAUGGUCAUUUUUCAAUCGGUUAUCUUAAUUGGCACGGAUUGAUUUUGCUGCAAAUGGCUAGAUCUUUUUAUUUUACCUCUGAAAUAAAUUUGCUGCUUAAAAUUUUUUGAAUUAUUUGGAUAAACUGAAUUGACUUUGUUUUGCAUGCCAUUUAGAAUCCGGUCUGAUGAUAGUAGUGGACAUCUGUCUGAUCCGAAUGAGGCAGGAUUGUUUAUGAAUCGAAAAUCCCAAGAUGCUGCAGUUGGUGCUCUUUUACGUAUGCUGAAGAAAGCCCCUCCUCGUCGCCAAGAUAUCUACAGUUUAAUUAAUUUUUCGGAAGCCUCCAGUCCAGAAAUGUGGAACAGCAGCAUUUAUGAGCAAAAGCAAAUUUCUGGGGUUGUGAAUGUUGAGCAUGCUGCUUCUUCAAGUAUUGCAUCUUCCAGGUUUGUUGCAUCAAAGACAACUGCUGAUGCAUUAGAGGAGCUUCGGGGUUAUAAAGAGAUGAAAAACUUAUUGCUUAGUGAAGGUGGUAAGUCUUACACAUCUGCCAAUAAUGCCUCAGGAGCUGAACAUUCCAGUAAAGGUACAUGAGAAUUUUUAACUUCUGCAGUAUUGUUAUAUUGCACAUUAUGUACAGCGCUAUGGUUUGAGAGAUUACUACAUGCUAUACAACUGAAGCCAUUUUUGCUCUUAGGUAGUCACGUACGUUUAAUAAACGAAUGUACAAAUGUUGUUUAAAAUUAUUUAUUAAACUUAAUAAAUGAACAGAAAUUAAACAUAUUUACUAACGGUUUAAAAUUAUUUAUUAAACUUAAUAAAUGAACAAAAAUUAAACAUGUUUACCGAAAGCUCUGUUCACUUACACCGCUAAUGGAGGCACAUGCGAAUUUACAGGCUACAUAUGUACAUGGUAGUACAACAUAUCUCUAUCUUUCGCUCACCAUCUCUCUGUUGCUGUCGUGUCUAUUAUUUUCCUCCUUUCCUUUGUUUUUUCUCCUCCAUGUGGGUCUAGUCUGGAAAUGCAAUUGCCUGAUGAUCAGAAUUGAAGAGAAACGGAUGCCAUUGCCUGACCAGCAGAAUUGAAAAGAAAUCUCAGCGGGAUGUUUUGAUUUAUUUUCGUUAAAAGGUAAAUAUCAACCUUUUCAAUAAAGUUUGAAUCUGUAAGUAAGCGUAAAUAUUCGGAUAAUCUUCAACAAACCAAAAAAAUCUUUUUACAUUUUGUUUUUUCUUUGUUACCUUUGUGAUUUAACGCCGUUUGAUUUGUUAGGAAAAUAGGGUCCAGUCCCAUGUAAGUGAUUUUGGACCAAAUAAAAGCCAUGGGCCUUGAUCUUUUAUUUUACACAGAGCCCUAGCUACUUAAUAAAAAAGAGGUGGGGUUGUUUAAUGUGUGUGUCGACAACCAAGCAGAGAAAGAAGAAAAGUCAGGAAAAGCAGAGAAAGAAAAAGGAGAAGGGAGAGUUGGUUAAACGGAAGUCGAUCCGUGAUCCAAUUGAGUUGGAACCUUGUCAGGAGGUUUAUGAUUCAGAGUUAUACAUUCUGAACGGUGAAGAUCGGGUUUGAAGCUCUCUAGGAACAAAUCCAUGGUGUAUUUGUUGAGUCACUUAUUUGGUGAGAUUUCUCCAAUUGUUUCUCUAGUUGUUGAUUAGCUCUAGUUUUAGCUAGAGAAGAACUUUGUAUAACUAUUAUUUGAUAGUGAAGAUUUUUCUGGUGGCCUGUGGUUUUUCCCUCUACACUGGAGGGUUUUUCACGUAAAUCUUGGUGUGCUUUAUUUUUCCUGCGCAUUUGAUUAUUGAUUGUUGUCUAUUGCUUCUGUAUUGUUGUGAUUAUUGCUUCAGGCGCAACAAGUGGUAUCAGAGCGAGAGUUAUUUUGAGACAUCGAUACAGAAGCAACCCAGGAUAUAAGUAAAUUCUGUUUGAGAUCAUGGAGGGUGAUACAGGUUCCAUGAUAAAAUUGACAGCAUCAAAUUAUUCAAUUUGGAAGCCUAUGAUGGAGGAUCAUCUAUACUGCAAAGAUUUGUAUGAGCCAGUAUUGGGUGAUUCGGCUAAACCAGCAGAUAUGAAAGAUGAAAGCUGGAAGAAGCUAGGUAGAAAGACGCUGGCUACAAUCAGAAAAUGGGUUGAUAUCAGCGUGUUCCAUCAUGUAGCGCAGGAGUCAGAUGCUCACAUUGUUUGGGAAAAAUUGGCAGCAUUGUAUGAGAGAAAAACAGGUAUGAAUAAAGUUAUGCUUGUUAAAAAAAUUACAACUUUACAGUACAGGGAUGGACGAUCUGUUACAGAGCACUUGAGUGAUUUUCAAGAUAUAUUUAAUCGGAUGACUACUAUGGAACUUAAGAUGGAUGAUGAAAUAAAGGCAUUAUUUCUUUUGGGUUCAUUGCCAGACAGCUGGAAUACUCUAGUUGUGACUGUUCUUAAUUCAGCUCCUGAUUAUAAGGUGACAUUAGAGAUGGUAAAGGACAGUAUGCUUAAUGAAGAAGUGAGGCGAAAAGAUGUAGACCCUGGGAAUCAAGCUCUGGUCACAGAGAACAGGGGUAGAAACAUCGACAGAGGUCAGGACUCAAAAGGCCGUGGUAAGUCUAAACAUAGAUCCAAAUCUAAAGGUAAAGUGAAGUGUUUCCAUUGUGGUAAGGCGGGUCAUAUAAAACGAAAUUGUAGAAUCUUGAAGCAAGAGCGAAAAGAUGAGAAAGGCAAGAGUUCAGAUGAUGGCAAUGUUGCAGCAGUGAAUUCAGAUAGUGAUUCAGUUACUUUGAUUUGUACACAUGGUGAUUGUAAUCAUGUUAGUGAUCCCGGCAUUGAGUGGAUAGUUGACACAGGAGCGGCAUAUCAUUGUGUUCCUAAGAGAGAGUUGUUUACAACUUACAAAGCAGGAGACUUUGGUUGUACCAAGAUGAGAAACAAGAGUGUGUCACAGAUUGUUGGGAUUGGUGAUAUUAGUGUACAAACUAGUACAGGCUGCAUGUUGACUUUAAGGGAUGUCAGACACAUUCCAGAUAUGAGAAUGAACUUGCUUGCUAUUAAUGUCCUUGAUAAGGAGGGAUAUGAAAGUCGACAAAAGAAUGGAUAGUGGAAGCUUCUCAAAGGAUCUAUGGUAGUUGCAAGGGGAAAACUAUGCUGCACAAUGUAUAAGACAUGGAUGCAAUUGAAUGGUAACCAGGUAAAUACCGUUGAAAAUGAUGCUUCAGCAAACUUGUGGCACAGGAGGCUGGCACACAUGAGUGAAAAAGGGUUACAGGUUUUGGCAAGGCACUCUCUCAUUCCCUUGACCAAAGGUAUGUCUCUCGAUUCAUGUGAUUAUUGUUUGUUUGGUAAGCAUCAUAGAGUUUCUUUUCGUAAAAGUUCUCAGAGAAAAGAAAAUAGAUUGAAAUUAAUUUAUUCUGACGUAUGUGGUCCCAUUGAGGUUGAGUCAUUAGGUGGUAGCAGAUAUUUUGUUACUUUUAUUGAUGAUGCUUCACGUAAGACUUGGGUGUAUAUGUUGAAAUAUAAAGUCCAGGUACUGCAUAUUUUCAAAAAAAUUUCAUGCCAUGGUUGAAAGGAUGACAGGGUACCCUUGAAGUGUAUUCGAACUGAUAAUGGUGGGGAAUACACAUCUAAAGCUUUGAAGAGUAUUGCUCAAAGCAUGGGAUCAGGCAUGAGAGGACAGAACCUGGACACACCGCAGCAUAAUGGUAUAGCUGAAGAAUGAAUUGCACUAUUGUGGAAAAAGUCAGAUGUAUGUUUGAGGAUGGCAAAAUUACCAAAGCCAUUCUGAGGUGAAGCAGUCAACACAGCUUGUUAUUUACUUAACAGGUCACCAUCAGUUUCUUUGGGCUUUGACAUUCCAGAAAGAGUGUGGACAGGGAAAGAUGCUUCAUACUCUCACUUGAAAGUUUUUGGGUGUAAAGCAUUCAUGCAUGUACCAAAAGAGCAGAGGUCAAAGCUUGAUAGUAAAGCUACACAAUGUGUGUUUGUAGGAUAUGGUGAUGAGGAAUUUGGCUACAGGGUAUGGGAUCCAGUAAAGAGAAAGACAGUCAGAAGCAGAGAUGUGGUCUUUCAUGAAAAAGAAACCAUAGCAGACCUUGAGAAAAAUGAGAAGACUACACAAGUUACUGUUGAACGUGAUGUUUCAACACCGACAGGGAUUUCACAAGAAAGAGCCACAGAUGGUGAAAAUGAGCCAGAAAUAGAACUUGAGGAUAUGAAUGAGCCAACCAUAGUUGGUGAUGAGCCAGAUGCUAUUAGUUUUGAGCAAGGGGAGCAAUCCUCUCUACCUGAGAGUGUUGAGCAGGGGGAGCUACCUUCAGCAUCAAGUGAUGUAGAGUCUCAGCUCAGAAGAUCUACUAGAGAGCGCAGGCCAUCUACCAGGUAUCCAAGUUUAGAUUUUAUUUUAGUUACCAGUGAAUGGGAGCCAGAAAGCUUUCAAGAUGUGCAGGCUACUCCGGAUAGAGAGCACUGGUUAAAAACAAUGAAAGAAGAGAUGGAGUCAUUGCGAAAGAAUGGUACUUAUGAUCUUGUUAAACUUCCAACAGGAAUGAGGCCAUUAAAGAAUAAAUGGGUGUUCAAGUUGAAAAAGGAUGGUGACAAACUAGUGAGGUAUAAAGCUCGAUUGGUAGUAAAAGGUUUUUCUCAGAAACCAGGCAUCGAUUUUGAUGAGAUUUUUGCUCCAAUUGUAAAAAUGAGUUCUAUUCGAGUGGUACUGGGAUUGGCAGCUAGUUUGAAUUUUGAGCUUGAGCAACUUGAUGUUAAAACUGCAUUUUUGCAUGGUGAUUUGCAGGAGGACAUUUAUAUGAAUCAGCCUGAGGGUUUUGAAGUGAAAGGGAAAGAGCACUUAGUUUGCAAAUUGAAGAAAAACUUGUAUGGCUUGAAACAAGCUCCACGACAGUGGUACAAGAAGUUUGAUUCUUUUAUGGUGAGUCAUAGCUAUAAAAGAACAGCAGCGGAUUCUUGUGUGUAUAUUAAACAAUUCCCUAAUGGUAACUUCAUUAUCCUAUUAUUAUAUGUUGAUGAUAUGUUGAUUGUAGGACAAGAUGCUAGUAUGGUUUGCAGGUUGAAAGAACAAUUGUCUAAGUCCUUUGAUAUGAAGGAUUUAGGUCCAGCAAAGCAGAUUCUUGGUAUGGACAUUAUCCGAGAUAGGAGAGCUGGAAAGUUAUGGUUGUCACAGGAAAAGUAUGUUGAACGAGUGCUUGGUAGAUUCAACAUGCAACAUGCUAAAUCAGUUAGCAGUUCACUUGCCAACCAUUUUCAUCUAAGUAAGAAAUCUUGUCCAGUGUCUAAGGAAGAGCAACUAGCUAUGUCUAGUAUUCCUUAUUCUUCUGCAGUCGGUUCUUUAAUGUAUCUUAUGGUUUGUACAAAGCCUGACAUUGCUCAUGCAGUUGGUGUAGUGAGCAGAUUUCUUUCUAAUCCAGGGAAGGUUCACUGGAAAGCAGUAAAAUGAAUUUUUAGAUAUUUGAGGGGUACCUCAAAAAUGUGUUUGACUUAUGGAGUUUCACAACCAAUUUUAGAAGGGUUUACUGACGCUGACAUGACAGGCGAUCUUGAUGGUAGGAAAUCUACUUCAGGGUAUUUGUUCACUUUUGCAGGAGGAGCUGUAUCUUGGCAGUCUAAGUUGCAGAAGUGUGUUGCUUUGUCAACUACAGAAGCUGAGUAUAUUGCAGCAACUGAAGCAUGUAAAGAAAUACUUUGGAUGAAACGUUUUCUUUUUGAAUUGGGGUUGAAUCAGAAAGAGUAUGUGGUAUUUUGUGAUAGCCAGAGUGCUUUAGAUUUGAGUAAGAAUACCAUGUACCAUGCUAGAACAAAGCACAUUGAUGUUAGAUAUCAUUGGUUACGUUCAGUGAUUGAAGAACAGCAGAUGCUAUUGAAGAAAGUCCAUACUGAUAAAAUGUGGCAGAUAUGUUGACUAAGAUACUUCCAGGAAAAGCUUGAGCUUUGCAGUAACUUGGCCAGAAUGAGUUCCCUGGCCAAGGUAAGUUCCAAAUGAAAUUGCUAAUGGUGAUGAAUCUCCUUCUAAUGGACUGGAGGGGAGAUUGUUAGGAAAAUGGGGUCCAGUCCAAUGUAAGUGAUUUUGACCAAAUAAAGGCCAUGAGCCUUGAUCUUUUAUUUUACACAGAGCCCUAGCUACUUAUAAAAAAGAGGUGGGGUUGUUUAAUGUGUGUGUCGACAACGCAGCAGAGAAGAAGAAAAGCCAGGAAAAGCAGAGAGAGAAAAAAGAGAAGGGAGAGUUGGUUAAACGGAAGUCGAUCCCGUGGUCCAAUUGAGUUGAACAUUGUCAGUGAGGUUAUGAUCAGAGUAUACAUUCUGAACGGUAAGAUCGGGUUGAAGCUCUCUAGGGAACAAAUCAGGGUGUACUUUGUUGAGUCCACUUAUUAUUAGAUUUCUCAAUUAUUUCUCUAGUUUGAUUAGCUCUAGUGUAGCUAGAGAAAAACUUUGUAUAACAUAUUUGAUAGGAACGAUUUUUCUGGUGGCCUCCGUCGGUUUUCCCUCUACACUGAGAGGUUUUCACUAAAAUCUGGUUGCUUUAUUCCUCGCAUAAUUAUUAUGAUUGGUCUAUUGCUUUCUUAUUGUUGAUUAUUGCUUCAGGCGCAACAUGAUUAUCUCGGUUGGGGUUAAUUUGGAAAGAUUGGUUUAUUAUUGCCAUUGACAACUUGGUUUCUCUCUUUAAACAAUUAUUUGGAACUAACAAUAAGUUUACAUUCGUCUUUGAUAAAGGCAUAAAGCACAUAAGCAUUAAAGAAAUUCAUCAUACAUACAUAAAAAGGAUAUGAAAAAUGUCUUUCAUUCGUUAUGUUAUUCAGAUUCGAAUGUUAGAUAUGUUAUAUGUACAAUACAAUAAUGUAUUUUUUUCAAUUAAUUUUUUUUUAUAUUUGGAUUGUCUAACCUCCAUAUCUACAUUCAUUGUAUAUAUGUCAAACAC
rnacentral:lncRNA from 1 species